rnacentral:lncRNA from 1 species
UCUCAAACUCAAUCACGUUGCUGUCACAGCACCAUUAGGUCUUGGUUGUUACCUUACGUUUAUGGAUUAUAGUUUAAUGUGCUUAUCUGGUACUGGCCCCGACUCAGUACAUGCUACCAUGACAGACAGCCAUCUCAACACUAGUGUUUAAUCAGAACUGAAAAACAGUCAGUCUGCUGUUGUAUCAGUCUUCUCGCUUCCACCCAGGAUGCAUCUUUUUUUCCCUCUGGAAAGUCUCAAAAUCGCAUCGCGCUUGAUGUGUGUAGUCAAAAUUCACCUCAAAAUAUUUCGUAAUUUCAUGUUGUGUAUUUGCAGCAGUCUCAGUGUGUAAGGACCUUAACACUGAUUUUAAGCAUUAAAAAUUAAAAUAAAAGAAUUUUUAUCCUUGUUGCUAGUUUCUUGUUAGCUUUUCAAAAUCAUAGAAAAGGAAUCGUAGGGGGCGCAUAGAUGGCUGAGUUGAUUAGCGCGCCCCAUGUAUGGGGACCACGGUCCCCGCAGCGGUUGCAGGUUCGAGUUUGGCCCCAACCAUGUGCUGCAUGUCCUCCCCCCUCUCUCUCUAUCUCCCCACAUUUCGCCCUGUACGAUCAAUUAAAGGCAAAAUUGCUGCAAAAAAUACUGAAAAUAAAAAUUCCUUAAAAAAACUUAAAAUAAAAAAAUACUUUAAAAAAAAAUGAAAUCGUACUAGUUUCAGACUGUUUCUAGACCAGUAAAAACUCAUCUUAGUGCCUUUAAGUCAAAACACAUAACACAAAACACAUAGCCCUGUAAAGCUAAAAGGUCUAGAUCAGGGGUGGACAGUUAAUUUUUACAUGGGGCCACAUGAGAAACCUGAAUUGUGUUGGAGGGCCGAACCAACAAUAACUUCAACUUCAAAUCAGGGGGGCUCACACAUACAGAAAAGCAAGCCCAAAUAAGUCCAUGUAGAGUCUCAUUCAUCCAGGUCAUGGUUAAAUAAGCAACUACUAGUUAUCUCUUAUAACAAGCAGACUUGACCACUAUAAGGCGUCUACGUAAAUUUUUCCUAUGUUUACAAAUGCAGAUCUAGGAUGUACACACGUGCGCCCAAACGGAAAUAAAACAACGGCUAGGUUUUCAAAAUAAAAGCACCACACAUGUAUAGCAUAGUGAUAAUUUGUUUGACGGAUCUCACGAAGGGUCGAACAGGGACAUCCACGGGCCGUAAAAUGGUCUGGUCAAGAUGCAACUCUAAUUUCAAGAUAUUACAAACCAAAUAUAAAGAAUAUAAAGCUGAAUAUUAGCAAAGUUUAUUAAAAUAGUCUUUAAAAUGCAUUUUACCUGCUGCAUUGGUAAAUAGCAUUCGCAGACUUACAUCAAUUCAUUAUAAUUUCACAUCCUGCCUCAAUUUAUCUGUUUAUUUUUGACCAAUACAAUCAGUAAAUGAGUGAAUUAGGGGGCAUUUUAUCAUAGGCAGACCCUGUGAAUUAUGUAUGAGCACAUUUACCCAAACUAAUUGUUAAAGCGUAAUCUACGGCAUGAAUCUGUGUAGUGAUUUUGAGUUCGCGACCAUCCAGCCUCGCAGAUAUAAAUCUCAAAGUGUUUGACAUUUUCUUAAUCCACUCACAUACGUCAGCACAAACACAUUUCUAGAGUGUUUUCACAGAACUGACUUUAAAUUCCCUGACAUAAGAUGAGAUAUAAUUUGUGUUUGGUCCAAGAAUAGUCCUCAAUUUCAGAAAAGUGGAACCGGCUUUAUGUAUUUCUAAGAGCGGCUCCCUUAACUGCGUUAUUUGCGCUACAAAGCUAACUCGUGUGUAUUAUUUUUUGGAUGACACAAAAUGCUUGAACCCGAGAGAAAGCUUCUUAGAUAGAAUAGGAUUUGUAAUCACAGUCAUCUUUCGCAACAUUGUGUCCAAUUGUAGAUAGAAAGAUGUACAGGCAUCAAAAAGCACCAGAGGAUGGAUGUUCGGGAGCUUAAAAGCUUUACAUACGCCAGUGUCUCGCUGUGGACCAAAUCUCUUUCUUGGAACUGUUACUCUACAAAGAUGCAGCUGUAAAGCAAACAUCAUGAGAUUGAAGCUCAUCUACAGAAACCUCAGUAUAUACAUUAUCUAUAAGGAGAUGGUCUUAGAUCCUGCUUUGUUUGUACACUGAGAACUGAAUUAUUAAGCUCCUCUGCUCAUUUUCUUCCCCCCUCAAAAAGGCUUUGAUAACAUUUUUGAAAUCCUUCAGGGAGCGGCUUUCAUUCCCCCUUUUCUGCACAUUUCAACAUCUGGCACAGUUGUCGUUUUUUUUCCCUCCCUUCCUUUGGGGAGGGUCACCGUGGCAGCAGGUCUUAAGAGCAGGCCACACGUACCCUCUCCCCUCUCCCUCUUCCUCCCAGGGGAGUUUCACCUGUCCUCAGGCCAGCGGAGAGACAUUGUAAUCUAUGAAAAGUCCAAGGUUAGCCCCAGGAUCUGCACCCGGUGGGAUAUGUCAACUACUUGCUGCAAAUUCCCCGCGGGCGUGAAGGCAUAACACAUCAAGCGCCUGCCCCUGAUCUGAAGCAGCACAGGCUGUCAUCAAAGCACACCCUUGGACUCUUAAGUACUUCAUAUAACAGACUGGAGUGUUUUCUAUUCAAACAUCAGAAGCGAGGCGGCUCUGGAAUAAAACAAUUUUCGCUUGUUGAGAUAAACGUCACUUUGCGCUCUUACUUUAUACUUAACCCUACGUGCCGCUCAUGCCAAAAGACGACUUCUCCUUUUUACAAAUGAACAGUCCGCGAUCUCAACCCAGACUUUUAGAGGUUACACAGAAAGUCCUCUGUGCAGGAAGUACAUUGAAAAGAACUUGUAUUUAGUCUCUUAAUCAAUCACUGGGGUGCUGGAUCGAUAGCUUAAAUCCGGUUCUCGCAGCCCCAGGUAGAUCGCAUUAUUAAUUUCUGUCGGCUCCGUCUAUGCAACCCAAGAAGAAGAAGAAGGCCGUUUCCCAAAAUACACCAGGCGGGAGAGGUUAGCUCUCUCAACUCAGAGAGAGAGAGGAAACAUGGAUGGGGAUGGGGCUCUGUAUGCAAAAUUUACAGAAGUUGUUUAUCUUCGUCAUCCCUCAUAUUUAAGUCGGAUAAUAAAACCUUUAUUUCCUAACCUCUGCUCUCCGGUGGCGCAACUUCCUCCUCUGCAUCGUAGUGAUGAACAACAAAACGAUGAACACAAAAGAACAGCUGACAAAUUGCAGAGGCUGUUUCGCUCUAAACGCCGAUACUUAUAUUAGCGAGAGGAACGACACAAAUGGAUAGUGGUGUGCUAUGGCGAACCGGGGACCUAUGAUCCUUUCAUGCAUCAUUUUAAGUGACACGCUGCUCAAUACAGAUAUUCCCUAUCGGCGAAUCAAUACUCCCAAUGAAAAAAUAAAAGUGUUAACUCCGAAGUAAAAGGACAAAUUUAUCUGAAAUAAUGUCCCGGUAAACAGAAACACCUGGGGUCCUGGAGUGGGAAAAAGACUUCUUUUUUGAUUGUGUUCCACUUUUUCUCUCGACUUCACUCUUUUCCUGCCUCUGUCUAUUUUCUUUGUAAUAUGCUGGAUAGCUGAAGGGUACUAUGAGGCUAGCUACGUGAGGGUGUAUUAAUGAAAAAAGCACCUGCACCGAAAACCAUUUAUCAGAUCUCGCUGUGGCUAGCGGACACGGGGAAUGGAGCGCGCGGAGGCCGUUUGUGUUUAUGUGCGGGGGUUUGUGCGUGUAAACGUGCGUUCCGGUUUAAGUGUCGCCGGUGUGACACAUUCAUCACAGGGGACAUAAAUGAGCUGAACUCAAGAUGGGAGAGGGCGCCAUGUGUGUUAACUGUGAAAAUAAUACAAACAGAAAGAGGAGGAGGAGGGGGAAAAAGAGAGGGGAGGGUGCUCGUGAAGUGAUAUGAGUGUGCAAGUAUUUACUCAUGAGUGUGUGAGAGUGUUGAGAGUGCUAAAUGGGGCUUAUUAAAGAGGCAGGGGAGAAAUGCCACUGUCAUCUGCUUCAAGGAGGAGUCCUCGUCUUCUGCAUCACUUUUUUUUUUUUUUUUUUUAUUUGUGCAGUGUGACAAUACAAGACAUACAACAAACAAUGGCAUUUGUGGUUUUGUGUGUGUGUGUGUGUGUGUGUGUGUGUGUGUGUGUGUAUUAUAUAUGUGAAUAAUAAUGAAAAAAAUAAAUAAAUAAAUAAAUAUUACAAUUGUCAGACAAGCAAAAGAAAAAGAAAAUUAUACUACACGAACAAUAUCAAUAAUAAUAAUAAUAAUAAUAACAACAAUAAUAAUAACAACAACAACAACAACAAUAACAACAACAACAACUACAACAAUAAUAAUAAUAAUAACAAUAAUAAUAAUAAUAAUAAUAAUAAUAAUAAUAAUAAUAAUAAUAAUAGUAAUAAUAAUAAUAAUAAUAAUAAUAACAACAAUAAUCGUAAUAAUAAUAAUAAUAAUAAGAAGAAGAAGAAGAAGAAGGAAUUUGUGGACCACCUCGGGUCCCUUCUGCAUCACUUUUAAAGGAGGGUCAGAAAAUGCUUAGUCACAGGUGGUCAGGUGUGUGCAAGGAAAUUCCCUCUACUGGACUGUUAAAAACUGGUGCGGUGAUUAGGGAUGUGCCGAUAUACAAAUUAAUCGCGAUAUGCGAUAUUAAACGGCUGCAGUGAUGAAAUCGUAAGGUACUGUAAUAAUCGUCCCACAAUUAUAAUUUAAAGACGAGUGUCAGCGUCACUCAAUGGAGGCGAGCGAAGCCGACUGCUUACCAACCUAACCCGCUUGUAGUCUUACCCACGGUGUCAAAGCCUCGGUGGCAAAAUGUACAAACAAACCACCACAAAAGUCGUCCCAAAUCCAAAACAAACUCUCGGAUUGAGUACAUUAAUGCCAGCCUAACAAAAACGGGAACAUUAAAAGAGAAAAUGAAGAAAUUUUACAAGAAAUGCGUGGCCACCCACAAUGCAUUGCGGCCACACAAAGCACUGUUGGAGGGUGUCCCCUCUGUGAACCAGAAACAGUUUGAAGUUUGACACACGUUCAAACUUCCAGCCAACGUAACGAUGCAGCUGGACCAAGAGCAGUCGGAGACUGAGAAUGACGAAACGCCUCGGCUGUAUCCUCCUAUUAAAAAGGUUUCGUCGGCAGUACGGACGUUUUACAGCUUCACAAAACAGACAGAGCAGGUCAACCUGACACCAAUCUGCAGGUUAUGCCGUAAGAGAGUUGCAGCACUGUUGUCCAACACUUCAAACCUACGUGCUACGUGACAACGUUAGUGACGUUUCUGCUAACUUUAGCUCCAAAAAGCUAAUGCUCCCAACGUCGCAUUAGCUGCCUCUUGCUCAUAUUGUUUGUGCAUGUCAUGCUUUGCACAAAGAAGUGAUUGGUGUGACUGUUAGCUUCAGUGCUUAGCUUCCUAAAAUUAGAGCUUUGUAGUGCUGCCACCGCUUUCUGCUAGCUCCUGUCAGUGGUCGUCGUUCUUUUUUGGCCAACAAAAAAACCUUUUAUAUCCAUUUUUAAUAGAAAGCCGGUGCUUACCACUGAGUCCGCCUUCUGCCGCGCCAAGUCCAUCUAUGAAUAUUUGACCUUUGACUUGGUAAGUGGCCUGCCCCCCUUUACCUGUAAUUAGCUAACACAUUGCCUUCGAUCGAUUGGAUUGGUUGGAUUGAUGACAUGUCAAGAUAUAUGGGAUUGACUGAAGAAGACUACUCUGACGGAAAAAAAACAGACCCUGAAUCAAAUAAACAAGGGCAGGCACAGCUGACUCCGUGGGUGGGCACAGCCCCCCAGUGCCCACCCAUGCCGCCGGGCCUGCGUUCACUGAAAUUUUAGAAGAAUUCUAAAUGCGGUCCCUCGUCUGCUGGCUGCUCACCUGACUUUGCUGCGUGCUAUAGCAACUGAAGUGAGAAAAAAACGAAUCACUUGAGGAAGAUAUUCAGUUCGGUAGGGUCACUUGAAAGAUUUGGUUCUUUUGAACAAAUCGUUUGCGAACAACACAACACUACCAAGAAGAAUUUUGCCAGAAUACCAACUUUAUCCCCACCCCCAUCCUGAUGCAUGGUUCCGUUUCAACCUGCGUUUGCAAACUGUCGUCCAAGACAGUUGGAUUUAGAGGGGAUUUUGAGCCCAUGCAGUGAUUUCCACUACAGAGCUUUGGCAGUACAACAGUAUUGAGUGUCUAUAUGGUAUUACAUGAGAUACUUCAACAUUACCAUGUCAUAAUAUCAGAUGGGGAUAUCUGUCUGAACAAUAAUGACUUCAUAUGCUUGCACAUCCCAUCCUCAUUUCCGUGCAUCAUUGAAUAUUUCCACUGCCUCAAACCAAAGAGGAACGAGAGGCUGAAAUCCAAUUUUUACGCUUUGGUGUUGAACAUGCUUCAUACGAAUGGGCUGAAAUACACACAUGCAAAAAAGGGUCUUAAUCAAGAGUAUCUUGGUAGCCCCUCGGCUCCAAAUCCAAGCCUCUUCACACUGAUUGAGCAAAUUAAAUCUGUGGUUUAUUGUGCAUGAGCUUCCUGUGAUCUAACCUGGAUAUUUGAUGUGGUUAUUUCCAAGUAACAGAUUGAGAUUUUGGAAAAAUUCAGAACUUGUUCCUCCAAUUAGAAGUAAUCAAGUUCGUCGACUUUUAGUUAAGAGGAAAGGGGGAAAAAAGAAUUUGUCCUUUAGCCAAAAUGAUAGAUUUUAACUCUUAGAACUCCCAACAAUAUUUGAUUAUUUUUAGUCCUCCUGUUUUUAAUUUUAAUUUUUUUUUUAAAAAUCUGUGUAGCAACUCUAUCCUUUAAAGCACAGCAAAUAUAUACACCUUUUUUUUUUCAGGACAACCUCAGCUAGAGUUUAUGGGUGCGAUAAUUAUGUAAAAUGAAUGUGACAGUAGAUUCAGAACCAUUAAAGUCAACCAAAAAACAAAAAUGGAAAUUGAUACCAACAGGACUUUGUUAAAAAAACACAUAAAACUACAAUGACCAAGCCUUUUCUCACCUGCACAUCAUUCUGUUAAGUCUUGGCUAUCAGGAGAAGAAAUAUUGGGAUUGGAACAAACACACAACAGAAACUAUUUACAUAUUUACACUGAUUCUUCCAGUUGUUUAUGCCACUCCUUGAAGCAGUUCCUGUCUGGGAUGAGACAGAGGGCCACAUCAUACUGCUCAUAAUCUCUUCUUUGCUUGUUUCCAAGCAUUGAGGACCAUUGUUUCUUAUUGUGCAGACAAGCAGGGAACUUUCUUGUCUCUUGUUGAUGUUUGGUUGCCUCUUGUUGGACACAACCAUCAAGGGAACAAUAGAAGAAGAAUAUGAGCCCAUGUAAUUGGUCAAAAGUUCGGCAGAAAAAGACAUCAUCAAAACAGUUUGUCAAACCAUUGAAGACAUUAGCAGCAUUUAGCGAUAGCGAUCUUAUUCUAUCACAACAAUAUGAUAAAUAAUCAUGUUUUCACCGGUAUUUCACUGCGGAUUUACCAUCAAACGUCUUUGAUCAAACACCUAUUUUUGUGGCUGGAAUGUAAACCUUGUGGCAGGUGUAGAAAUGUCUGGAAACCCUCGAUAGAUCGCCAAAAGGGUAAGCUUUUGAACACUUUUCAACCCUUAGAGAUACACGAUAUAGUUCCUGAGAAACUGUAAAAAAAUUAAUGGUGUCACAUGGGAUCACCUGCGAUCCAGCGGAGUUCUUAAGAGUUAACUUUUUUUUUUAGAUUUUCAAAUAUCUUAAGCUGAUCCUUCUUUUUUUGUGUAGAAAAGUUUGUGUAUUUGAAGAUGAAGCACACCUCACACAGUACAUGUGGUGUGCAGUUGCUAUGAAAACUCAAUGAUGAUGAAAGUCUGUGAUGGUCAAUAUCAAAUGGUGGCCAUUUUCACUUUUAGCCUAUCAACCAUCUGAGCCAUUACAGUCCGAAUAGCCAUUACUGACCAUGAGCUCCAUAAUAGAGACGAUAAUUCUGCCGUCCAGCUCUCUAUCCAAGCUGUUCAUGCCACAGGAUUUCAAUUGCCCUGCUUCACUGGGAGGCCAAACAGCACUAUCGCUCAAUUAUACUCUCCCCCAAAACAGAGAAUUCUGUGAUCUCAUUUGCAUUCGGCUGACAAAGGAGAUGAUCUGACAGGGGAGGUUUUGAUCAAAGUCAGCUUGGCCAUUUGUUUUUUGUUUUUUAUACAACCAGCAUAUCUUUUUACGCCUUUGUAACAGAUUGCUCCUGUGUUUUUCUGGUCGUAUAAUCUCACUUAUCCUGUCCAAAACUAAAGUGGAAUAUCUGCAGAUCCUCUUUAAGUUAAAGGUAAUUAAGUGCUAUUUCAGUCCUAUCUUGUAUCCUAGCCGUGCCAGAGAUGCAAUCCAUCCCCGACAGCAUUGCCGUAGCCUUAUCUGCCUUAAGAUGAAGUGUCAGAUGAUCCUUUUGUAGAGCUGGGGGUAAAAAAAUGAACUCCAGGCUCUUAUUCUAAAGACUCUGGCUGGCAGCAGUUUUUAACUCCUGGCACAUUUCAACUAAUAACCACUUCACCUCGGGGUGCUCGGGGGCGGGCGAGCUUAAAAGAGGAAAGAGAAAAACAAUCAUAAAGGAAGAAAAAAAAAAAGAAAAGAAAAAAAAUCCCUCACCUCCCGCCCGCUCAUCACAGGAAGUGCAGCCUCAGCAGCCGCCUAUGCAAAAGCACACUGAUGAUUAUGCAGAGACCAAAGAACGCUCGGAGCGCAAACAGCUGGCCCGGUCUCACCGCGGAUCAUGGCGAGUCUUCUGAUCUUCCUAAUAUAUUCCGUAAUUACUGAUAUGUGUCGACAGAGUGUGUGUUGGUGGUGCUUAAUGUGGCAGCAAAUUAAUUCCAAAUCUGGCCUCGUGUGCACCGGCGUUCACACCCUUCUGAUCUGAAUUAUUUUGAAAGGAUCUAUACGUUAGGAGGAAAAAAGAGAGAUUAAAAAAAACGCACAUUCAAUUUGCGCGGUGCUUUAACAAUUGUUCAUGCUUUGACAAACUUAACAUGAAAAGACGAAGGAGAAUGGAAAACGGACCUGCGGGUUCUGGGUGGACAAAAACCAAAAGAGGCAUCUUUAGUGGGAAAACGCAGUGCGGAUAAUUUGCAGAGAUUGCGCCCGGGUUUAAAUCCUUAAUUAGCGCUUCAAACGCUGACCUCUUUCUCUUUCUCUACCUGGAAAGCAACACUUUCACCAGAGCUAAGCAUAAUCACGCUGCCCUCUGGCUUCCUAUGAGUAAUUCACUCCUCCCCUCUAAUCACACUGUGCAAAGUUCACCCACUGUAACACCUCUCUCAUAGUCAACAGCAGAUGUUGAGGUUUUGGGCAUAGGUAAUAGCACCCUCUGGUUAAUGUCAUUUCCAUCUACUUCUUCACCCUCCCACAUCUUUAGACGCUUUGCCAGUCUUUGAAAAGAAGUCCAAUUAUGUGACGAAUACCACCUGUCGUCACUGAGUGUUUUUAAAGGAUUCAGUUUUCUGAAGUGCUGGCCAACCACAGGUUCAAUCAAAUGAGAAGUUGUGCAAGGUGACAAGUCUGACCUCAGUCAACAUUAGUAACUUUUGCUUUUAUAAGUGAGGUUCAGCUUGGCUUGUACUCUUUGAAGUUCAACCCAGCAAUUAAUAUUGGUGUCCUAGUGUGCGAUUUAUAAAUCAAAUGCAAUUUACUUUUACCGCAAUGCCGCGUCCUCUUAUUCAAUGAAAAGAAAGAAGAAAACUGUCUUAUGGUCUGACUUUUCAACAUUUGACUGUCUUUUUGGAAAUCAUGGACGCCUCAUCCUUCAUGAAUGGAAAGUAGAAAACUUUCCUGUGGUGUGACCACGAUGUCGGAGGCGAAUGAACUCCUCUAAUUUCAAGGGUAGCUGACUGAGAUAAACUGCAUGUGACUCUGCAUGUGCUGUGCAGCGAUCCACCAAUCACAUUCGCUCUUUACUCAGUUGCCAAUUAGAUUACCCUUCCAGCUGUCAAGCAAAACCAGAGAGGGGAAACCACGCCCCUUCACAUGGCCUGCACAUGGAGUGAGUCGCUGGCGCUGCCGGUGUUGUGCUGAUAGACGUAUGCUCACUGAGAAUUACUUUCGGACAAAUAAGAACUGUAUGGGUUUUAAAUCGUACAUUUCUGUGGACCAAUCUACUCGGCACAACACCAGGAACAACAGCAACGAUUGCAAAAAGAUCAACGAACAAAAGAAAACCACAGACUUGUUGCUGAAAAUAAAAGGAAAGUCAGUUAUCUGGAAUUAUUUCAGUUACAAAAAGAAUGAUGUCGACUAAACACCUGUUCUGUGUCGGCAGUGCCUUUCAUCUGUCACCACAAUAACGUCCCAGCACAAUAAAAGCAAGCUUAAAAUAUCUCUAAGACAGACAAAAAUCAUUCUACUAACUCAUUCACAAAAUUUACAAAAAGAGGUGAGAUCAGUGCAGGUUAAUUAUCCACAAGAUUUCAGCAAUGCAGCAGCAUAAAGUGCUAUUCAGGUCAUCUGGUGAAAAUUCCUGUUUUUUAAUAUCGCAAUGUGGAAUUUGUGGAAAUCAUGGAUGCUUUAUCCUCCAUUUCAAAGAAAGUAGAAAACUGUCCUGUAGUGAAUACUUUAAAAAUUGAUUCUUUUUUGGAAAUCAUGUACGUCACAUCCUUAUUUAUCAAUGAAAGACACAGAAACUGUCCUGUAAUCUGCCUUAUCAAUAUCUGACAGUCCUUUUGGAAAUCAUGGAUGCCUCAUCCUUCAUUUCAAAAGGAAAUGAAGCUUGUUUGUUAUUCAGCCUCUGAUUUGGUCAUGGAUCUUCUCACCUCAGCUUUACAGCGUUUGAGUACACCGCACAGCAUUUAUUCAAACGUACAGAAUAAUCAAACAAAACUCUGUAGUCAUUUCAACCUUGUAAACAAAUUGAAUGGAGAGAUACUCAGUAUUUACUCAUCGAUUUGAAAUGGAUGGGGCUCAGCCGGGAAAAACACGAUGCUUUAUUCUGAGCACGAGGCUUUAUCAAUAUUUGAAUCAACAUACGAUAACAGUUGUGGCGUCGCAGCCAAAGCCGGUCUGAAAAUGUGAUCAAAGCACACCCACACAGCCCUGACGAGCUGAGAUCUUCAGAAUAGGAGCGUUCAUAGAUAUUUCAUCUCACAACAUUUUUAGUAUUCAUAACUAUAAGAGUACUUGUAAAUAUUCAUAUAAUAAAGAUAUGCAAAAAUCAAUAGUGUGUUAAACAUGAUUUUUAAUCAUGUUUUCAGGGUGCAAACUACCCACAUAUGAGCUUUUGUUUACAUCACAAGAGGAACAACAAAUGUUUGUUUGGUGCGAGUUUUAUUUCCACAUGAUUUCACAAAAACAGCCACCUGAGAAGAGACAUUUUAUGUAUGUGAAUACGUUCUGAAGCUUACACAAUAACACACCGACAACAAUAUGCAAAUUUAGACAUCAGAUGCUCUCGUGUGUUAAAAACAGCGAAUCUAUUCUGGUGGUUUUUGCACCUGAGCAUUAUAAGGUGCUCUGAAUCUACCUGGAGGCACACUGACUGCAUUUCCAGUGCAAAACAAAAAAAAAAAACAGGUUAUUUAUUCCACCUGAAUCCUUAUCAUGUGUGCAUCCUUCAAGGUCUGUGAGCAAUUAUACUCUGUGUGCAUGGAGACGCAUUGUGUGAUGAGCUUUGAUGGUCGCCGUCUCUUUCGAUAAAUGCAGCAGACCUUUUCUUUAUUGAGCUGAGAUUCAUACUUUACCCCCCCACCCUCUGGCACAUAACUGUAAAGCUAAUGGAGCCGUUCAAGGUAAAGAAAACAGUGUGUACAUCCAAUUUGCUUGUAAAAAAUAUACAAGAUAUGAAGCUGCUUCUGACUAAACGUGUUAGUAUUUUUUCAAAUCUUAACUCAUUUUCACACAUUUAUAACCAUUUGGCGCCAAAAUAGGUCUCAUUACAGAAACGUAAGCAGAGGAAGGUUACAGGUCGGCCUUCAUCAGACAAUAUUUGAUCUUUUUCUUGUACUUUCAACUCUAUGCUUCUGAGUGCAAGCAUUUGGUGUGUGAAUGAAAAAAAAAGCACAAAAACAUUGCUUGUUAUUUUCGGAAAGUAUAAUUUUACACCAACUGUGCAGAGUGAUUGUAAUCCAAACCCACUAAUUUGCAUCUAUUUUUUCUCCCUGGCACCCACUUGCCCCAUACGUUUGUCCAUUUCCAGCACACUGUGUGAUUAAAGCUGAUUUAAUUAUUGGGUUAAAGCUCCUGUGAUGAGUUUUAGGCUGGAACUGUGGAACGAAUUACCACUGAGAUUAAAACAUCCCCCACUCUUUCUACUUUAAAAUCAUGUCUCAAUUCUCAUUUGUAUUCCUUGGCUUUUAGCUCAGCAUGAGAUUUGUGUGAUCUCUGUCCUUUUAUGCCUUUUAUGGUCAUUUUUAUCACUUUUAUUUCUUCGAUGUGUUGGCGUUUUUAUUUCAUUUAUAUUAUUUCAUUUUAAAUCUUUUUUCCUGCUUUUACUUAUUUCCUCUUGAUGUUUUCUGCAGUGUCUGUUCUUUUAAUUUUACUGUACUGCACCUUGGUAAACUUGAAUGUUUUUUAAAAUAUGCUAUAUAAAUAAAGCAAAUUGGAUUGGAGUGGAUUGGAAUUGUACAAAUGUCUCCUUAAAGGGAUAUUCCGGUGUAGAAUUAAUUUAGGGUAAAAAAAAAAAAACACCGUAACACCGAGUUGGACACGCCCUCGAGAGAUGAAUGUUGUCGACCACUUGAUUCUCUAGUUAUACCAACUUUAGUGACGACCGCACGAUAGCAAUACACAGUGGUCUGCGGAGCCAUAAACAAACCUCAACCAAAGCGCCACUCUAUAGCCACAAAUAAUGCUCAGAACAGCAACUUCAUCAACAGUACAUAUAGGGUCCCAGCCACAGCACUAGCCACCAAACAUCUUUUUAAUUUUGCCUAAUUUCUUUAGCAAAGAGAAUAAACACAACUCACCUACUCUCUUCCAGCAGCCGCUUGUUUCUAGUGAGACCUCAGGCCAGUCCAUUACAGACUACAGUGGGGUGACACAGCUCAAGGAAGAACAUUUGUAAUAACUUCUUUAUCAUUUCCUUGAAGUAAUAGUCAUCAUAUUAAUCAUUUUGCACUGCAGUCGCGGUAGUUCUUCUGCCUUAGCGUCUCUGUCUGAUUGUAUUUCCAUGAAGAAAUUAUCAUAAAUGUUCUUCCUUGAGCUGCCGCUGUGUAUUACUAAUGUGCGGUCAUGACUAAAGUUGGUAUAGCUAAAGAAGCAAGCGGUCAGCAACAGUCAUCUCUUGAGGGGGUGUUUAUUUCAGUGUUAUAGCGUGUUUGACCCUAAAUUAAUGUUACACCGGAAUAUCCCUUUUAAGUGUUAAAAAUGCAUAGAAGAUCAAUAUCAACAAGAGUGAAUAUUUCUGUAAAGUUUGAAUGUCUAAAACCAGUGGUGGGUGGUCGGUGUCAGAGAUGCAGGGGAGCAAAAUACAAAGAAAAAGAAAAAAACAUGUUUAGAGGACAAAAACAAUGGUGAGAGCUUUGUUCAUGGGCGGCACAAAAACAGACCAAAAGUUCCUUACAGGAGCUUUAAUAUCCUUUGAGUUUGGACACAAUUUCAGUUGUAUUUUUAGGUUUUUAAAUCGCAAAUCUGUCUAAGCUUGUCAAACAAAUAUCUCAUCCUUUCUUUCCUUGGUCCUUGACAUUGAAACUACGUGUUCAGGAACAGGCUUAUGAGGAUAGGGAUGCUGCAUUUGCUUAGGUGACUUUGGUUUGAAAUCCUGGUAGCUGUUGCCCCUCAGCUAUAAUUCGCCCUUCGCUCAAUGUCAUCAAUCAAAAACGGCAGAAAUGAUUCCCAUCAAGUUCGCAAAAUAGGCCACAGCCGAGAGGAAGGGAAACUAGAUGGGAGGAGAAAAGAAAGAACAGCUUUCUUAUUGAUCCUGAACCGACUGCUGCACAAAAAACCAACGACAGAAACACAGCGGAGGGAGCUCAGACCAACAGGCAGCCGUAGAAAAUUUAAUUAUUGUUAUAUUUACCCAUGUGGAGAUCUUUAGAGAUAACUUGUUGCCAAUUUGCUCCUUCUUUUUUACUGCUAAUGUGCGCUUUUAUAGGACUGCCUUUUAAGUGUCUCAUUGCCUUUUUGCUUUGUAAUCUUGUUUUAUAGAGAGGAAAUAGCCGGUGAAUUAUUUUAUGACCUGUUACUUAAAGAUAAAGACAAGGAAAUUUAAAAUAAAAGGAGGGGGGGGAGAAAAAACAAGUUAACUUUUCUAUUUUCUCCCUUUUUUUUAUCACUUUUAAAUUACAAAGAGAAAACAACCACAAGGUUUGAACUUUUAUAUCCUGUGCGCGCAGCUCUCCGCAUGCAUAUUUUAUCAGCCUAACUUCCGCUGCUUGUAACGCAUCACUUAGACAUCCACUCAAGGAUUUUGUAAGCAUUUGCAACAUGUUUUAAAAACUUGCAAAAAAAAAGACAGAUUUCUUCCCGGCAAGAUUUAAUGUUUCGGAGUCUUUCUUGAACUUCUACUCACGAGAGGAUUGUUUUGGAGAAGAGCCUAGUUUUGCUCUGUGCAUGUAUUUAUCAAGAAUCCCUUGCGGCAAAUUUUGGUACCACUUCUGGUGGAGAAAUAUUCCCACUUUUUUUGAAGGUAAAAAACAUGAUUCUGUUAAAGUCUUUAAGCUCAACAGCUCAACAAACCACUCAGCUCUGCUUACUGCGUCUCCAUUUCUUGUAUCAGCUGAGAAAUAACUGAAACAAUGACCAGAAGGUGAUGGUAGAGCAUGAGGCUCUCUUCUGAGCAUGAUCAAAGCAGCUAUCUUAGUUUAUUUGUUGAAGCGGUGAACAUAGAUGUAUUUUUAGAGCUUACUCCAACAGGGCUUGAAACGCCGUCCUCUUUCGCAUUUUUGACUUUUCUUUUCAGAUCCAUCAGAGUCAAAUUCAGGUUCAUUUCCAAGCUUACUUCCAAUGUCCAGGAAUCGAAGGCUUGACCACAAUCCUACUUUACCUCAUAUUCAUUCUUUUGUUAAUAUUUCAACCCUUGAUAGGUACUUCUCUUCAUAUUUUUGCUUUUACUUUAUCUGCUGUACAGAGAGCUAGACCUGUUUGUAUAUUUACUUUCAGUGCACACACAGACAGGCGGUGGAGCAUGAGGUGAUAUUUACUGAAUUUGACAAAAAGUAUAUUGGAUAAGGGUUACAUAAGCCACCUUUAACCCGCCGAAUCACUCCCAUUUGGCUGAUAUUUAAGAGGGUUUGGAUCUUUCAGGAGAUGCUGUCAGUCAGGAAACACACAACAAGAUUUCGAGACCUCUUCAGUCAUAUUCGACCGAGAGAUUUUAUAAGAUUUCAAAAGGUCCUAUGAGUCUACAGAGCUUCUGUUUAGACUGGAUGGGUUGAGGUCCUAGAUCUGGACAAGCAGAAUGGUGGUUUAGGAAGAGGGAGGUACAGGUAAGCAGAUUUGAUUUGCAGCAAGGUGUGUUUUAAAGCUCUGGGUAUUGGGUUCCUUUAGUUCAGUUGGCUGACCAAUGGAGUACAGUCAUAUCAUAGUCAGAAAACAAGUGUAGUGGUCGUUUUGGUGCUGUGGGCAGGUGCUAGAGAAGAAGCCAAGAGUCUUCCCCACUGAGCGAGACCAAGAGAUACAUAGCAUUUAUUCUCUUUGAGGAAUAAUUUAGUCAUAUUGGAAAUGGGAUGUUCAAACAAUUCGAGAUUUCUUACAGGCUGUCUGCCAUGAUUGUCAAAAUCCCCUCCAAAAAUCACAUGUAAACAAGGUUCCAAAUAAGAUUUCUUUCUGCUUUUGUUGCUUUUUAAAAUGGAAGAGAAAAUCCACAAACAAAGAUACGAAGAGAGGAUUUAGAACCAGAGGAAAAUAGAGGAUGUGUUGAAGUUUUUCCCUCUUAUGUCCGUCCAGGCCCUCGGUAGAAACAUCAGUCGUAAAAUAAGUUCCAGUCGCUGCUCCAGCCGUUAUCUUUCUUUGCUUUUUAUGGGUCCGAGUGCAGUUCUGCUUUGGUCAGGUGAUAACAGGCCAGGCUGGGGAGAGGAUACAUCUGUCUGGCGUUUGGCAAAGUGGGCCUGACUGUGAAACAUUGAGUCAGCUAAAAGGUUUAAGCUCCGUCAGCACCCUGUGGUGCCUUUACAGUUUAAUACAGAGAGGCCAGACAGGCUGACAGAGAGGUUGGAGGCUCAAGGAGCAACAUUACGUAACACACAUGCACUCAGGCACAUACAUCCACAGAUGCAUUAGCAACUCUGAGUUAAGUGUAAUGCAUUGAACCUUCAUUUAAUCACAGCAAUUGAAUUCAAUUCAUUAAAGCAAGGCAGUAAAAUAGAAGAGCUCAGCAAAGCUUUAGACGAGGGAUCCAUGACUUAGAUUUUCACAUUUUUUAUUCUUCGUUUUGCGGCUGCAGGCAGGCUGUUUUGGAAACUGUCCUUGUUGGUGUGUUGAAAGACUUGCCAACAUCUGAGAUUUUGCCUUCAGCUGCUGGGAACAAAGAUUUCCAUUUACUGUCUCCGCCAUAUUAUGGUGCCCACACACUGCUAAACACAGUCAAAUCAACAGAUGAAAGUCAAAAAGUCUGGAAACUUCUAUCGGCUUUUGUUUUCGGAGGUGAUGUAUUCAGGCUCUGAAACACUCCUUUAUUUCACUGCCAGAAAGAACCGAAGAGGCUUUGAAGGGGAGAAAUAAACACUCUUUUUUUACAUGACAAAUACAACCAAAUACUUCAACCCCAAUUACCCCCCCAAUAUGAGACGUUGAUAAAGGCAGAUUGUGAAGAAUUGCCAAUCACUCAAAACCCUUUUUUAUUUAAUCGCAGAUGAUCCAAAAAAAACAAAUCAAUUGUUGAAACUAAGAGUUUAUUUUCUGAUGCUUUUCAAGACCAUUAUGUUGAAAACCCUCUGCAGACAUUAGGGAACCAAUGACGCAGGUUUCUAAAGUUUUGAAAGUAAAAAUCGGCCCCAGUGUUGCCUGUGUUAACAUGUUAAUAUGGUCUGGUAUUGUCUCCCUUGAAACCACAAAAUGCUGAUCAUAAAUACUAGGGAUGGGAGUCACUAGUGGCCCCACAAUACGAUAUUAUCCUGAUACUUUAUUGUUCCGAUUUUUAACAUUUUGCAAUACAGUGAGUAUUGCAAUACAAUAUAAAAUGAUUUAUACUUUUUUUUCACUUAUUUCACUUAUUUACACUGUAUUUUAUUUCCAUGUAGCACAUCUUGUGAACUUGUAUAUAUUUCUUGUACUAACUAGGAGUGUCAACAUCUUCACGUGUAAAUGGAUACAUGGAUAACAAAUCAUUACCGUUUAGAAAAAUCAAUAGUCGUUUACACAUCUUUUUAUUCUUCUUCUCCUUGAUCAUUUCUCACCAAUAUAUUCACCAAUUCACCAUCCAAUAGAAAUGGUGAAUUGGUGAAUAUAUUUCAACAACACUGCCUGUGGAAAUCAAGUUGAGUGUAGGCUAUGUCAGGCAAAGUUGUCUUCCAACAACAGAACGGGGUCCAUGCGAAACCACCUGCGAUGGUAACACCCGAACAAGUUGGAGAAGGAGACUGCUGAGGGAUUAUACAUACAACAAGGCGAAGAAAUGUGACAAGGCACGGAGUGAACAUAUCAGCAACUUAACAGCUGAAAUGGUGGCCCUCGACGUGCAUACCUGUGUCAAUGGUUGAGGAUGACGGAAUGAAAUACCUGGAGCCAGGCCGUGAAAUUUCCCGCAGAGCGACAGUUUGCUCACGGAUAUCAAAGUACGUUAUCUUGUCUGUCCAAAUGAUAGAUGAUUUUAUUUUCAACUCACAUUACUUUCUGUCAUUAGUAGGCCUUGGAUUGUUAAAUGAAGUUCUGUGAUUAAUCUGUUAAAUUGGCUAUAAUUUAGUACCUUUUUGAAGUGGGUCUACAAGAAUACUUUUUUGUCUGAUUACCACUGGAAUGGUUUGAUUUAAUGGGAUUAGGAGUUGCUUGAAUGGAGACAGAACCUUCUAGUGGUUCUAUAGCUCAACUGCCAAAGAAAGAGAUCUCCGACAUGUCACCGACAAGCCCUGUUUACACGUGUAGAAAAAAUUGCAAACGUUGACACCCUUCGUUCUAACUUUCUCCUGCUCUAUGAUGUCACCUUCAUAUUAACAAUUAAUUUGAAAAAUCAAUACUCGGUAAAUGAGACGAUACGAUAUAUCACCAGACAAAAUAUCGCGAUACUGUGCUGUAUCGAUGUUUUUCUCCCACCCCUAAUAAAUACCCAUAAAGCACAUGGACUCUCUUUCUAAAUGUCUCUUCUUGAAGCCCGUGUCUUGGAAGUUUGAUAAAAGGUUCAAAUAAGCCGUACAAAUAUGACACAGUGCCUCUCCAAACCCCAGCACGUGUACUUACAGUCACACACGAGGCGAUACCCCAGAUUCCGACUACCAUAUGUCAUCUUGAAUCUGCGAGGAGCUUGCUGCCGGCGGCACACUCUCAAUAACAAGCCACAGGCUCUCUGUAUGAGGUAUCCUCCUCUCAUCCUUUUGUAUUCUGUCGACUUGUGUGCUUACUCAUGCCCUGUAUCUUCAGUCAAGCUUGUGUUUAGUGUUCAGCUGGAGAAACGAGGAGGGACUCAAAUGACUCAGGCAGCUGGUGCAGUUAUUGUCAUGGAGCCACGAUGGCGUGAGCUAAAUCUCAGUUCAUUUGGUUAAUUUUAUGUUGUUGCGACUCAUAUUGUCUGUCGGCUGCUGUGAUGUGUGCUCACAUUUGUGCAAACGGGGCGUGGAGAAAUCCACUUGAGGCACUGGUUUAUCGGCUUUGCCUGUCUGUGAUUGUGAUUGCUAAUGGAUUUUCCACAGGUCUGGUAACUAUCAAACAGGCCAAGUGUAUUAAUGAAGUGCGGCAAGUGAGCUCAUACCACCACUCCGAAGUGCUUCCGCUGGGUGUAACUCAAAACUGCACGUGACCCGACCUCUGAUUAGCUUUGAAGAAUACAAGCGCAUCAACGAAAACAUUGCCAAACUUUACAAAUUGAAUCUGCAUCUCCUAAAACUAAAAGUGGCAUCAAAACAUCAGGCGUGCUUUAUGUUUCGAGGAUGCUGCGAGGCACUGCAAGUGACAGGGACAUGAGAAAUUACUUGGGGACUAAAGUUGGAUGCAUCUUUGUUAUGCAAUGCUAGUGAGUCAAGCCCCAUAGAGUGGAUCCACUAAAGGGAUAGUGCAAAUAAAACCUGGUGCAUUGGUUGAUAAGGGGAUAAUUGGUGGAGCGGCGUCAGCAGUGAUGCGGACGCUUAACCGAUCAGUCGUGGUGAAGAAAUAGCUGAGCCGUAACGCGAAACUCUCGAUUUACCGGUCAAUCUACAUGCCAUUCCUCACCUAUGGCCGUGAACUUUGGGUAAUGACCAAAAGAACAAGACUGUGGAUACAAGCGGCCGAAAUGGGUUUCCUUCCCAGGGUGGCCGGGUUUAGCCUUAGAGAUAGGGUAAGGAGCUCGGACACUCGGGAGGCGCUCAGAGUAGAACCGCUGCUCCUCCUCGUCGAGAGGUGUCAGCUGAGGUGGCUCAGGCAUCUGGUUAGGAUGCCUUCUGGACGCCUCCCAUUAGAGGUGUUCCAGACACGUCCCACUGGGAGGAGACCUCGUGGCUGGCCCAGGACCAGGUGGAGGGAUUAUAUCUCUCGUCUGGCCUGGGAGCGCCUGGGAAUCCCCCCGGAGGAGGCUGGGGUGAGGGCCGUCUGGGCUUCCCUCCGACGGCAACUAGGGCUGGAUGAUUAUGACAGAAAUAAUAAUCACGAUUGUUUUGACUGAUUAUUAAUUGAUUUCAGAACCUGAUAAUUUAUUUAACCACCAAAACUUAACUUGCCCAGAAAAUUAGUAACAGGUAAAAAGUAAAAAAAUAAAAAAUAAUCAGCUCUGUGAUUGCCGACAAUAACUUGCUAAUGCUAAUACUCGGCGUGCAUGUGCUCUACGGUGCAGCACCCAUGUGUGUGCACAUUUACUGACACAUAUGAGUACAAAAACAACAACUAAUUUUUAACAUGUGGCAACUUUUAUUUAGCCUUGGCGGUGCGCUGCGAUCGAUUGCAUAUAGAGGAAACCCUGACGUUGGUUGGGUUGCCUUGGAGAGCAGACAGGACAACGUAACAAACUUUGCAAACAGUUUUCUUUUGCUUGACCUCCGUCAAAUUGAAGCCAAAAUGUUUCCUAAAAGUUUGUUUCCAAAAAGUUGUCCUACCUUUCUUCUCAACCAAAUCCUGCCUUUCUGCCAUGUUUUCAAUUGCUCACUUCUUGCACGUAACAGGGGUGCAUUAUAAUGAUUAUAAUGUUUUUUUACGAAAUCAUAUUAAAAUCCAAUUAAUCGUCCAGCACUCCCUAAAAAAUGAGGUAAAAUCAUAAAAAUAUGUUGGCAAUUGAGGCUCAUUAUGAUCCAUCCAUUAAUAUUUAAGACAAUUCACAUCCCUUUAUUUAUCCACACACUAAAACACACACAUCAAUGUACCUUGCUUCUCUUCCCUGUUGUCUCUAAUGCUGCAAAUCAUCCAUCUCCUCUCCCAUUCGGAGUGACUAUGCCCUGCCAUUAAGCAUCAGAGUGUUGCACAUUACAUAUGAGGGAGUGCAAAUAACCAGUUUUGAAAUGGCAGCAUGUAAGAGCCUUACAACUCUCUCCCCGCAGCCUCAGUGAAAGCCCAGAAAUCUAACCUUGGGUAUAAAUUAAAGUAAAUAUCAGCACAAACUCUCCUUGUGAAGAAGAGUGUACUUCAUAAAUGUUUAUACUUCCAUGAAAUCACUUGGAAAGACUCAUAUCCUGCAGGGAUUCGAACGAGAAAUAUAGAUUUCUAAUGCCGCAGAUGUGUCUCUUUUCAGUGUCGUCCCCAUCUGAACUGCUGUCUCACAGUUGCAUAUAGUCAUUCUGUGCUUAGAGGAUCCAUCCCCAUCGAGGCCAAGCUUUUUGUGGCACUGAAGGGAGUAUUACAGUCUUUAAGUGGCCUUUUAAAAGGUUACUAAAUGCGUGUCAGUCCCCACAGGUUUGUGUGAAUGCAGUUACAACAGGCCAAGGGCGCCGGUUUAUUUUGGCUGUCAAGAUGUUUAAGUAGGUCUCAGUGAAAGGUUAAAGCCAGCAGGUCAAGACACACAGGCUGAUGGAUGUUAGCUGCCUGCAAAAGGAAGAUGCCAAACAAGCAAUAGGAAACACAUGGAUGGAUUCAAUGUAUCUGGAGGUCAUAGUCGUAAAUCUUAUCAUUUCAGAAACAAGGAGGGGGGUACAGGGAGCUGGUCGAAACUGGCUCAGGAUGUAAGGUCAGUGCUGGAAAGUUAUACCUCUUAAUAUCAGCAUGAAACCACCCAAAUUCUAAAGAAAUGCUUUAAAAAGGUUUAACAUGUCAGUUAAAAUCAGAGAAUCUCCACAAACUAAUACUAGAUAGAGGCAGUACUGCAAAAAAGCAGACAUGACUCUGUCGUGGAAAUUUCCGCAUUAAAGGUGGGGUAGGCAGAAAUCUGUUAAAGAAGCAUCUUUUUUUGUGGUGUAUAUACAAAAAAGCUUUUUAUAUCAGUCAAAAGCUUUUAGUCAAUGAUGACAUUUGAGAAUAUAAAGAUAUCGCUGUGUUUUGUUAUGUCUGUGUAGUCAACAUUUAAAAUUUUUUUAAAGGGCCCGCUCUUUCUGACUGUAAACAAAGCCAUUCUCCAUCUCCCCCAACCUGAUUGGUUGUGAAGUGGACGCUGGUCCUUAGUGCCCAUUGGUUUUGAGGCACAAUCCACAUCCUCGAAUAAUGAAACAAAGUUAGCGUGCUACAAUAUCGGACAGUAAAAAACCAACCAGAAAGUACGGAAAAUUGUCUGAAUCCUCUUUUGGCCACGACUGCCAACACAAGCAAGAAAAUGAAGUAAAUACAGGAGACUCUGGCGGAGUAACAGGCGCUUAAAAAGCCGGGCAAGAGCUUAAAAGCCGGGUAAACAUCAGCAUAAACGAUGGGGAAGGCUUCGAGAUCUUACUGACCCUGUAACCUUUCUGCUGGACAGGUAAACCGCUUUAACAAAGUAAGCUAAGUGUCUGUAACAGAAGUCUUUCUUGUCAAAGGGGACUUGCUGCGUGUUGUAGUGCCGCUAAACUGUUGACCUCGGGUCCUGGACUAUGUCACUUUAUCCUAGUUGUAGAAGUCCUGCAACCAUUGUGUUUGCUGGUAGUCCGUUGACAUCCACAGUGGCACCAAUGCUUUUUACUUUCACGUUGACUGGGCCCCAUUUGUAAGUAUUUAUCUGCAUUAUAUCUGAAUUUGAUUGGAACGAUACAGCCUUGCAGUUGUUUUUUCAAACAUUGCAAGUUGGGUAAGUCAAAUCAGCAGGAACAAAGCUCGGUUAGUACAAGUAAUGGAAGUACAUAAAGUCCAACAAACUAAAAAGGAAAUGCAAAAAGGUCUUGAUUCUCAAACACUGGUUCUGUUUUAGACUCAAAAAGCGAUUAGCUGUCCCAGUAUUCAAACCAAAAUCGUCAGAAAGCAGCCAACUGCAAAUCUGCUUGAGCUGGCACCAAUUCCUCCAAACUUGAAACUGCAAAAGCUGCAAAACCAGGGCUGAAUUUGUUCAGUAAAGUACUGCACAUGCAGGAUUAGAGGAAAUUUGAUCCUUUUGAAGCAGCAAGGACCAGUGAGACGUGUCUCAGGGAAGGGUUAAUCUCAAAGAUGUCAAGUAUUAUGUAUUUUUUAAGCUCCAAUGACUGGUUUGAAAUUGGUUCAGUGGAAUGGCAAUCAUUCAAGGAUAUUUGGUGAUGUUGGGUUUAGUCCAAUGCCAGACUAAAUAUCUCCAAAAUGGUGUCUUUCUGAAUUUCAAUUAAAUGGGAAUCUGCUCAUUCUGGCGCUAAUGCCUUCCAAAUUGGAAAACUGCAGGGGGACGGUUUAAACCUGAGAUUCAACGUGGUCAGGAGAUUAAAUCUGGUUUAUCUGCAGGAUGAGAGGAAGCCCAUGUUUCCUGAUGUCUCAUACUGGAGAAUCUUUAACUGUUUGCUCUUUGGGAAGAAUCAAGAAGAAGACAUUUGGGAAUUCUGGGAAAGGCGAUGUUGAAAUAAUGUGUUGUACAGCCAGCAGCGAUCUCUCCCUGAUCAUACUACCUUUAAUGGAAUAACCCCAACAAUGAAUUGAGAAGACUGGGAAGCAUCAGCAAUGUUUGGUACAAAUCAGAGCCAUGGCAGUGAGUGUAAACACAACUCUGCCCAGGCAUUCUGGGACUUUAUUUUCCUAAAGUGAGGAAUCAGUUCCCACAAUCUGGUUAAAAUUAGUGCGAGGACAAAUAUCCACAGAGGUUUGGUACGAGUAGUUCUUGUCUAAUGUGAGUGCAGUCUGUAGAUUCAGACAAAACGGUGCAAUUCUGGAUGUUUUAUUACAGUAUGUCCUUGUAAAGUAGUCCCAGAUAGACUUGUGCGUUCAUGUUUCACUCAGUGUGAUUUCACGGCAAAAAAAAUAAGCGUGGCAAUCAGCAGAAUAAACCUUUCUCACAUCCUGUGUUACAAGUCGUGUACUAUUGUACUUGUGACAGGCACACAGCACAGGGUUUUUACUUUUCCUGCCCUCUUUCCUUGUUGGUAAUAUCAGACUGAAUUGAAUGUUCUGCCUUGCCAGUUCACACUCACACACUAGGAAAUAUGAUUUGCAUUCUCAUUUCACAGAUGAAACCACAGCUCAUGAAGAGAACAGACACAGACGGUGGAGGUUUUGAAGGUUCCCCGAGACUGGAGAGUCGUCACGGUGGAUUUGCUUCCCUUACUGUAAGUCCUCAAUAGCACCUAGGCAGGCAAGCUUAUUUGUAUCCAUCGCUUACAUACGCAGAAAUCCUCACAAGUCAUGAUGAAGCUACUUUUGAAAUCCAGGUGUCGCAGUAAAUCACUUUUCGCCACCCCGACAAUGAAAGAAACGCUCACCUGCUGUGAUCGGCUCAUUCUGAGGACAGAGAGUCUGAGAAGGAAAAUAGCUUUCUUGUCACGAAAAGAAAUAUAUUUGUCACUUGUGUUGCCAGACAUGUUGAGGACAUCACGGUCGUGUCUAAAUCCACAGCAGCGUGAGUGUGUGGGAUCAUGUUGGGACUCCAAGUGCUGAUUGGAAAACUCACACCAGACUGUGAGUGGUGAGGUAAGAAUAACACUCAGUCAGCGAAGACAAAGAGAUUUCCCUCUUAAUAACAGCUCGUGUUGUCUUCAGAGAAAAGCCACCGGGAUUAUUUUAACAUGUGAGACGUCUCAAGCAGUAGAUUAAGAGAGAAAACAGACGAAAGGUCAAGCACAUUAUUCUCUCACUAAUCUAAAAAAAAUGAUUCAAAUUUCUCUCCUUAAUUUGAAUAAUAUUACUUCAGCAGGAGGCUGUCAAACUGCAACAAAUUUCAUGACGUUCAUUAUUAAAAUUCAAAAGAUAUAAAAUCAUUCAAAAAUAGCACAGUUUGAACCCAAAUCCUUGGAUUAAAGACUUGAUGGAUAAAAUAAACCUAAGGUAUUGGACCUGUUCCGUUAAACCUGGGACCAAGGGCCUAAGAUGCAAAGUCUUAACCCAGGGUUCCUGCUGGGUCUUAAAAAGUCGUAAAACGUCUUAAAUCCAAUAAUUUGAAUUUAAGGCAUUAAAAUGUCUUAAAUUCUCUAAAAGUGUCAUAAAAUGUCUUAAAUAAAAAUUUUAGAAAUGUAUUGAUGUUACUUACAAAUCCAGACCGAUUUGAAGUUAUUUUAAAGUCCCAUUCUGAUUUUUUUUUUACUACUCAAAGUGUUCUCAGUGGUCUUUAAAUUGUGAUUAUGAAGUUUUUCACCAAAAACUGCAUUACCUGUGUUGUUUUCAAGGGCUUUUCUUCUGCAGAGCUCCAGUAGCUCAUUAGCAAUUCGCCUCUGAGUCGUGGGUAGAGACAGCGCUGCUCUGUACACUCUUCUUCACGUUAGCCUGUAGCCUAACAUUGCCAGUGUAGUAGAGGUGGCAGGUAACAUAGGUAUUAUUCAGCUCUCGGACACUAUUGUCUUUAGGGACACAGUGAAAGCUAAUAUCACAAUUAGCUUUCUUACAAGCUAACGCACACGCUUGUUCCACAGUCGUCCUCUCUAUUUCUCCAAGCCUGGCCUGCAUAGCAGGGCUCUGGGGGUGGAGCUUGGAUUGGUUACAUACGAAAUCUCACUCUGCCUGAGACUGCCAUUUGGGUCUGCCAGAGAUUCACAGUGAUUUAAAUGCAGAAAUACUCGGCAAUGCAAUUUUGCACUUCUUUUUCUCAUAAUAUGUCCUCUAGCAUCAGGAAAAUGCAAUAUGAACAUUUAGACAACAAGAAAAACAUAAUUUUCAUUGACGUGAGUCUUUAAAAGCUCUUAAAACGUCUAAAAUCCAACAUUCUAACAUCUAACAUUCUCUUAAAAUGUCAUAAAAUGUCUUAAAUACAAAUUUGAAAGGUCUUAAAAAUGUAUUAAUGUUACCUACAAAUAAAGAUUGAUUUAAGGUUAGUUUAAAAUGUUCAGAUUUCCCUUCAUGUCUUUUGUACUUUUUUGCCAGUAUUGAUGUCAAAUGGAUCUUAAACUUUAUUCUUAAAAAAGUCUUUAAAAAGUCUUAAAUUUGACUUGUUGACACCUGCAGAAACCCUGUAACCUGGUAUGAUAACAGCUUUGAAUCUGAACCAGAGUAAUGAUAAAAUCAAUGAAGGUUGUCAAAUUAUUCAUUUUAACCUGUUUUGAUCAGUUGCAUUAAUGGCUGGUACCAGUUCGAGAUUAAUCGAACUUUCUGCCUAUUGUAAAUGUACCUUUGAGGGAUAUUUUUUUCAUUUUUUAAAAUACUUUUAUCAACAUGGGAGUGGACAAAUGUACUGAAUAUAAGCUAAUGUGUAAAACAAUAGAGGAAAAAAAGACAAUUACCAUCCAUAUCGAGCCAAGUGGAAGCCAAAAGCGUUGUUUUUCACCGAGCCAAAUGAUCUGGUAAAAUUGAUCGCAGACAAUUGCAGAUUUACAGUAUUUAGUAUAUCUUUAAAAAUGAAAUCUUCAACUGGGUUUGAAACAUUGCAACCAUCUCUUUGAAAACAGAAGUCCAUCAGCUGUAAAUAUGUGUGACUUUAGUCUCAAGUGAAACCAUCUGGUAGGGCUUUGUGGAGGAAGGACUCGCCAUUCAAAAAGAAUAAACAUGUUAUGUUUCCAUAUUUUCUGAUCCUUUAUUCCCUCUUUGAAAGCCUCCCAGUGACCUUCAGCUCCAAUUCAUUAUUGUAGCUGUUUUUAUUUAUUGAAAGACUACCACUCACUUCAUGUGAAAGGUCAAAUACAGCGGUUACAUCUUUUGCUUGUAUUAUGUCUUACUUGUCUCUGAGUAAUUAGCAUGCCGAUUGUGCGAUUUGCAAAAGGGAGUGUUCGGGAGAGACGGUGCAGAAAGAAAACAAGCAGGGUACAAAGAGAGGAGGAGAAGAAGAAAAAAAAAGCUAAUAACAGCAUGUGUUGUAUCCCCCCAGCCGAUCUGUGGUGAGAGCUACACAGAAGCCACUGCUAAGCUCCCUGAGAAUGCCGCCAUCACCCACUGGGGAUGCGGAGUAAUUACAGAGAGCUUUGGUCCCUAUUUGCCGACAGUAAUAAGCCUGAAAGCCCAGCAGCUUACGCGUUAGAUAAUGAAGAUUCACUCAGUGUGGUUAAAGCUAGUUAUCUUUUAUGGUUUACAUGAUGAAUGCACUUUGAACGCAACGUCCUGACAGUACAGUCACCUUUUUCUGACCCUGGCCUUGUACUUUCAGAGAGCGUAUUCACUCGGCGCUGAAUCUAUGCAUCGUGCGGUUCAGGUUUGUCCAUCUGGCAGUGUCAGCAGUACACCUGGAAGUUAUAUAAAGUACUGAAGACGUAGAACAAUUCCUGCUUAGUAUGCAAGCAGUGGCAUCUGUAACUAUACAUACAUUCUUUUUUUCUAGUGUGGGAACAUUGUGAGCUUUACACUUUUCAAAAGGACAACUUGCUUGUCCUCAUUCCUACAAGACACGCGGUGCUAAUUAUGAAUUAGCAGUAAUUACAUCCCAUCUGUACAGCAUGAAACACAGACUGGAUAUGAUGUCUGACAAUGUCAAUUAAGUAUGGUUUAGAUAUGCAAAUACCCUGUCAGGGAGGGAGCGUCUUUACACUCUGUUAGAUAAGAAACGUCGUAUUCCUGAUGGUUUCUCUUAUAGUCUAUGAGUGUAAGUGUGUAAAGUAAAGCCUCAUCGACAUGUUCCUGCACUCUUUAAAGUUUCUGACUGUUGUAGGCACACUGUGACUUUGAGCUGACUUUCUGUGCCAUCCCCAUUAUAAAAAAAAAAAUGGAUGCAGUUAAUAGUCUGGGAGAGCCAGCGCAUAAUUGUGAGCAUGUUGGUGUCAUUGCUGAAGAAAACACUUUCAAGAACAUCACCCAGUUAAUUAGGUUGGUUUGCAACAGACAUGAUCGUGGGUUGGCAGGUUACAAAGAGAAAAGGAUUUGAUGUAGAAGCGCAUUGUGAAUCUGUAUGAAGAUUCAUAGAAAUCUGACAACUUUGGUAUAUCCGUGAGGGUGAAACGGAUACGAUCAUAAUAGCGUUUCAAGGCCUGGAAAGGAGCCUCCCCUGAGAAACAACAACAUGGAAAAGGGCAAAGGAUGGCCUUUUAAGGAGAUAGAAACCAGAGCGUUGACAAAUGUGAACUACUGCGCAGUUGAAACCCUUUAUGUGGGACAACAUGUCACUUUUGAAACCCUAGAAACUUAGCGUCCUGAUUUCCAAAUGUUACAGAAAAGAAAGACAGUGGUAAAUGUGUCUUUUUACUAAGGCUGUCAAAGUUAACGCGUUAUUGUCGCGUUAACUCGAGUGACUUUUAUCGCCACUAAUUUUUUUGACGCACGAUUAACGCAAGCCUUAGCCUGGCUUGACCAAACUAUACACACACUGCGUGGAUAUUCUUGCCGUUGUAAAAGGGUAGAGGAACAGUUGGUGAGCUAUGUGAGCCUCGGGGCACUCCGUAGUUUCGCGAAUCAGAAAGUAGAGCACUGACCGAUACCGCAGCAGACAUAAACAAAUUCACGUGAGCAGUAACUAGGAUAUAAUGGAUAAGAACACUAUUUUGAACGGAAAGUUCAGCUACAAAGCCUUGCCAGAUUGCUCUCUUGACAGGACAGUCAUUUGUGUUUCCUGUCGAGCUGAAUUUAGUUACCACCGGAGUACGUCUAGUACACAGCUGAUGCAGAGAGGGCCCCCCCCCCGCAUACGGAUCGCAUCCAAUGACUGGACAUAUGAAUUACCUUGUAGGACCACCAUUACCAUGAAAAUCCACGAUCUGUUCUCAUGUUGAUUCUUAUGUUGAUAAAAGUAUAACAAUUUGAAAAAGAUCGAUUUAGAAUGGAUCAAAAAUAUGCGAUCAAUUUGCGAUUAAUCAUGAUUAAUUAUGAUCACAAUUUGAUUAAUCGCGAUUAAAUAUUUUAAUCGAUUGACAGCCCUACUUUUUACACAUACUCAAAUUCUUGCAGUCAAAGCAGAUCCACAUAUAUAAUGCCACCUACAGUGUUAAGCAUAAAUGAGUACACUCCUUAGGUUGUCAGAAAACCUUCAGUUUCCUUUCAAAAUCAACAUUUUGUACAUCAGACUAUACAAAAAAAAUACUCCUCCAAAUGCAAGAUUUUUUAUACAAAAAAGUAUUUUUUCCGAUUUAAAAUCAGGGUGCAAAAAUAAGUGCACCCCAGUCAAAGUUUUCGAAGCAGAGCUAAAUUUUAGUUAUCAUAUCACCCUUAUUUUCAUCUUAUGGUAAAUAAAAUGUUAUGUUAAACUCAGCUUUGUCAAAACUUUGGAGAUUGUACUUUUGCUCAUCUAGACAUUGAGUUAUACGUUACUUUUAACCUAUUUAAACCGGGACAGCAUGUACGCAUUUCAACCUACCAAGCCGGGAGCGCGACUGCACAGUGUGGAUAUGUCAUUCUGUAACAUUCUGUAGUUUUUCAAUCAUUUCUGGAGUCGUGGCGAAUCAAAUCAUCAUACUGCCACUGAUAGGCUAAUAAAGCUUAAUAAAGCGAUCAGAUUCAUGUUCGGAUCUUGCUAUGUGCUCCGUGGGGAAAGUGAACAAUGACGGAGGCAGAGUAGCUUCUUCAGAGAAGCAUCCAGCCUUAGCGAAGGUAGUGAUAUUGACAGAAAUGAUGAUGGUGAUGAUCCCUAUUUUGAACCUUCUGGACCAGGAGAUUGGGAUUUGUGGAUGAGAGGAAUGUUUUUGGUCAACUUCUCCCUAAAAAUGAGAGAGCUGGUGGACCUACAGUCUAUGGCUGUAAGCAGUGUGAACAACCUCUUCAUAUGGAGUGCUUUGACUCACAUUAUGGGUGUUAUCUGAGUGUUGCAUGACUUUGGGUGAGCACAGAGAUGAACACACUGUCAGCCACUUAUUUAUUUUUCGGUUUUAGUGCUGCUUUUGUACUGGCACGAUACUAGGGCAGCUGCAUACCCUUUCAACACUUUAUUUUUUAUAUUUACAUUUGUAUUGAAUGGACACUUUAUCAUGACUGCCACUUGUUUUACAGACAACAAAUUGUUUGUUAUUCUCCAGUGCAGAGUCUUUACUUUUAUUCAUACAGCAGCUUUAUUUUAUUUGAGUUUGUUUGUUCAAGGUUUUCAAUAAUGUGAUGAAAGUUUGCACAAAUAAAAGAUAGUUUUCCUGAAAGCCACACGUAUUAUCUCUCAGAUACUUGUUUAAUUUAGUUUCUAUCUGCUACAGAGGCCGAGAUAUCAGCUUUUUUGUAAACCUCAACACUUAAGAAAACCUCAGGAUCUGGAGGCCCUUCUCAAUAUGGCCCUCAGGAUUUCAGAGGCGUGUCUCAGACAGGGUUCAGGUCUUAAUGGGUUAAUAGGGGGUGUACUGUAUGUCUCUUCUGGGCCACCCAAGUCAAACGGGCCCCUGAUUAAGGACACCUCCACAUACAGUAGACACAAUAGUCAUAAUAACCCAUAAACUUUAACCAUUAUAACAAAAAAAGUCUCUUUUGUUUACCCAGGCUCCGUCUUCCCCCCCGUAUAAAACCAGCUGUUUCAAGCUGUGAGAGUGUGCAUGACACUGGCAACCUCCCGCUGCGGCAUAAUGUGCCAAAGGCAUGCCUGAAAAUGUUAGAAUCGCACUGACCUGGAAAAGUUAUCAGUAGCACUUUGGCUUUUGAGACAGAGUGUGCUUAUACAUUAUGUAUAAAAGAAAAAGGGUUUGCAAACUGUUGCUGUCACCCGUGGUUUUGCUUUCGCUUGCCAUUAAUCUGCGUCAAUGCAAUCUCCCCCCAAAAAACAUAAUAGAUUCAAAGCCUUGGCGAAAACCUGCGUGAAGAAUCGAUAUAAGAAUAUUUGCAAAGGCCAUAACAUUUAUUGAUCUGACCAUCUGAAACACUUCCCAAAGCCAAGGUGAGGGUGGAAACAGACAAAAUAUCAGCCUCAGAAGUACUUUGUCAGAAUAAUGCCUUGGAAGUGUGGAUCUGUGAAGCACUGGUUCACUCUGUGCCCUCUGCACUGUUGAUUAAGAGAGAUUUCUCUCAAUGCUGACCCUCUGAACGAGUGCACACAUCUAAUGUGUUGCGCUCAUUUCCCACAGGUGAAAAGACUCCUGCAGGGAAACUGUGCAAGAAAACGGUAUCUGUGUGUUUGUGUUCACUCACAGGGAAAAGCUUUGGGAAUUACACAUCACAAUAUGGAAAAUGAAUCGUCAUUUAAAUGCACCACUUAGAUAGCAACUGCCUCAGGAAUGCAAUGAUCUGCUAAUUAAGGAAAAAUUCUUAUGCGGCCAUUGAAUUCAAAUACCACAUAAGCCUGGCCUUUAACCCUGACUAAGCAUUGUUAGGUUUAUAAACUGAGGCGAGGUGUCGGGGUCUGCGGGAGAAGUGUAAAGUGGUCUGUUCUCGAAAAGAUUUUCUGUGGUGCAGACUUUCGUCAUAGUAAGCUGUCAUCAACGAACUCGGUGCUCCUGGUGAGUCACCGCUGUGAAAGAUGUACUGACACAUUGGCACAAUGAUAAUGGAGCAGUUUGAGUGCUGCAUCACUCGGUGUAACCACAGAACUUGAGCGAGGUGGAGGAGAGAUUGUGAAUGAUUGGGGCGUAGGUCCCAGAUUUUUGACCUCUAGUUUAACCUCAUAGUUUUUUAUUCAGAUCAGCAGUCUGUACCUGAUAUCGAAAAUCCCUAUCACUGAUGGGUGCUGUUGUAAAGACUUGAUCAAUAUUAUUAACUCAUUCAGUGCCAUUGACGGAUUUUGACGGAUUUUUCAGUUUUUUGUUUUCCACCAGAGGGCGCUCCUCCCCAACAUGCAGCUAAGUUAGGGGUCGUUCUGAAGGCAGAAAAGCCGACAAAUGCAUCAUAACCAUAUUACAACAACAAAAACAAGUGCCGUAUUUUUUGCACUGAUUAUAAGGCGCACCAUCAAUGAAUGCGUCUAUUCGCGUCGCGUCUUCGCACCGGAUUAUAAAGCGCAUUAAGCCGAACAAAACAGUCAGAUAAGUCAAACUUUAUUUAACUUAUUCAAUAACUCCAUGAGGCCUCGGUAGCUGCAGUGCUCCGCGAAGCCAAAAGGAUUUUAAGUGCGCCAUAUAGUGCGAAAAAUACGGUACUCGCCAGUGAGAAGCGUGCCAUCAAGUGUGCCAAUUAGCCAAGUUGAGGAGUGUUUUUGACCUCCGCCAAGGAGGUUAUGUUUUCGGUAGCGUUGGUUUGUUUAUUUGUCUUUACGGAGAAAGUUAGAGAAAGACAGAUUGACCUGAAAUUUUCACCAGAGGUGUGUCUCAGCCCCAGGACCCCAUUAAAUUUUGGUUGAGAUCCGGACAAAAUUCUGGAUACUGUGAUCCAGAACACACAAAAAUAAGGGUGUCGUUGGAAUUUUCAAUGCUGAAAGAUAACCAAUGGGCGGUACAGUGGUGUAGAUGGGCGGCACAGUGGUGUAGGGGUUAGCACUGUCACCUCACAACCUGAAGGUCCUGGGUUCAAAUCCUGGUCAGGGCAUUUUUUGUUUAAGGGGGGGCAUGAGCUGCUUGGCGGAGGUCUGCGCUUUCCGAGUGCUUUUCUAGUUCUUUGUGAGGAGAGUAGGAAAUUACCGAAGUCAUUAGCCAAGAGCUAACGGUCUCGGCGCAUCGGCUCCCGAGGGCGCGGUGCUACCGUCUCUGGAUCCAGUGGAGAUCAUGGUACCUGACCUUCACAUCGUCAGGAGACAAUCAAAGAAACAAUUUUCCUGCAUGUUGUUGUGCACAAGUGCCAGUACCAGUUCAGCGACAGUUCUGGCACAGAGGGCGUGAGCAGUCCGUGUGGUUUACGUCGCGGCGUCAGGUUCCCGGGAGCCGGUACGACUCCCAGCUGUCAUUAAGUGACCUAUCACAGUCGGAGGAGGAGUGGUGUUCAAAGAGGGAGGACCUUGAUGCCAACGGUAAAGUGGUUUGAAGUGAAAUAAAAUAGACGAUCAGAGUUCUGCUUGAAAGUCUCUCCUUCGUAAAAAUGUGUUUUUUCCAGGUUUCUUUUUCCAGAUCACCAAAAAUGAUAUGACCACACUGCACUGAGCAGGCAAUAACUAAACACAGGAAUGGGUUAGAGAAUAACUUUUUUUUCUGGUGAAAGAAGAAAAUCACCCUUUUCUUUUAAGAUAUUGCACUUAAUUCUAGUCCAGGCAAAAGAUUUUCUGUGGGUCCUGAAAGAUACAAAAAUUUCUAUUGGUGAAAAUUGCAUAAAUGAACCUGGCACUGAAUGAGUUAACUUCACCUCUCACUGGUCAUAACGUUAUGGCUUAUUGGUGCAGACAGUAAUCCUUAAAUAAAACCCACACUCUCCCCUCAUGUGUGAUCUGCUUUCUCAGAUAUUUCAAAGUUCAUCAAAAGCGACAGUAAGGUCCCUCACAUGUAUUAUUUAACAUCAUUUUCCCAGCUUUAAUGAUUGAUUGCACCCCUGCUCAGCACUUUCUCUCAUGCUGGCGAUGGUACCAAUACUUUUAUCCCCAAAUUGGAUUUGUUUCAAAGUAAAAACCCGCGCUGGAUGCGUGCAGCCGACAUUGGCAGAACACCUCGGCGGCGGCUGCCAAUCCCUUCCCCUUUCCCAAAGUCUGCGGCGGCAUUUAGUCAUCACCAAGAGUGCCUGCUUGUUGUUAGCACUUACACUAAGCACAUUUUACCUGCUUAUCUUAUUACCCAGGUGUCAGCUGGAAAGCAUGUUGUAAUUGAGGGGAGUAACCUGCCAGUUGAGGUGUUCUCAUUCAUUCACUUAAUUGCAUUGUUCUCACCGGACUGGGGAGUUCUGAUGAAGAGGAGAACAUGACAGGACUGUAAUCAGACAUGUAGCUCCGAUAGAAGAGAAGUACGAUAACAAACUAGACAAGGUGUCAUAUUAACAGAUUAAUUAGAAUAAACAAUGUGAGUGAAGCUUCCAUUCAUUUUUCAGUUUCUCCUUGCCUUUCAUACACAAAUCACCUUUUCCUUUUUAUCUGCUUUGUAAUAUUUGGCCGUCGUCAUCAAUCAAACUGUCCCAGAAAAUAAAAAGAUAAAGCUCCCUGUCUUUAAAGUGUGAAACCAGUGAGCUAUGAUGCAAAAGCACCGUAGCAGGUUUGGCUUCUGGCUUUUCGUAACCAACUCUUGGUGGUGGGUGGAGAAAAUGAUGUGGAAAGAAUACUCAGCUUACACUUGGAGAUAAGCAUCGACAUAUCUCUGCUCAGUCUUAAGACGUACAGUCUACGGUGGUUGCAAAGAUGCCAAAUCGUGUUACACUCUGCCUUUGGCGUUGUGUAAUGCUUCAAUUUUAGGCCUUGACCUUUCAAAGCGUGGCGAAUACGAUUUUUAAGGGGGAGAAAAAGCAUUCACUGCUCCCAAACCCUCUUAGAUGUUGGUUCGUUCUUGAUUCAUCACCUAAACGGACUUCUACCCGAUAGAAGGGAAGCACUUCAUCGCAAUACUCGUUGAUAUCUGACUCAUUCUGCAGUCGUCAAAAUGAGCCUCUCUCUCUGAAAAAGAGUGCUUUUCAGAAUUCAACAAAAGUGACUCAGUCUGUCUGUGUCCCCCCUAGAGAGGCAGUAGCCUUUUGUGAUAUGACCCCCUUCCUGUCUGUGCCCUUGAAAACUGUAACAACCCCAUGCAGAGACCGGUCGAUUGAAGAAUGGUUAGGUUAACGUGAUCUCAUUAGCCUCGAACUCAUGUUUUUGUGGAGUGAAUGGGAAAAGCAAACUCUCGAGUUAAAGUCCCAGAUUGUCUUGUUUUCGUCUGAAUAACAACUCUUGCCACCAGGAGACUGCUCCUUGUGUAAUUAUGUUGUUUUCAGCCGAUGGUGUCAUUAUCAUGGAGUUAGCAGAAUGGCUUUUUCACAUAAUAGUGUACCUGUAGGGGGUAUGAAAACAUGACAGCUCCAGUUGUUCAAGGUAAUUCUGAAUAACAUGUUUGGGUUUAUUUGUGCUGCCGCGUACUGACUCAUACAAUAUGAUAAAAAAGAACCGAGAUGAGGUGAGAGUGUCAGUAAAUCAGAAUGUUGAGUAUGUUGUGUGCAGAUGCCAACGAAAUGAAAACCAAGCUGCCGUGUGGACCAUCCGAUAAGGAUAGUCUGAGCUUAUAUGUACCCGGGACAAUGGCCAGGUACUUCCGCCCACCAUCAGUCUGCAGGGAGAUAAAAGAGAAGACCAACAAAGGGCCAAAAAGGACACAAAGGAACAGGUCCCUAACAGGUGGGAGAGCCAUUACAGUAUGAACUCAGACUUCUGCUUCAGUGUGAAGGAUAAAAUACAGUGACAUUAACUACAAACUCGGCAAAGUGAAGACUAAAAUGUGACUUGGGAAACCACCGUUUGUUUCUUAUAUUUCCACCAUACCGAAUUAGCAAAAAAAAAAAGAAACUACAUUAUUUUUCCCCUUUUUUAUUAAUGUGGCUAACUAACCAACCAAUUAACCAACCAGCAACUUUAAUCAAGCAAGUAACCAAUCAACCAAUAAAUCAACAAAUCAACCAACCAGUUAACCAACUGACCAAGCAACAAAUCAACCAACAAACCAUUUAAAUGAUAUAUUUAAUCAAUUAACCAACCAACCACUUCUAUCAAGCAAGUAACCAACCAGUCAAUCAACUGACCAGUGAACCAGCCAACUAUUCAAUCAACUGAAAAAAUCAACCAGCUAACAAAUCAACCAACAAAUCAACCAACAAAUCAACCAACCAACAAAGCAACAAACCAACCAAUUAAUCAACUGACCAAGCAACAAAUCAACCAACUAACCAAUCAAUGAUAUAUUAAAUCAAUUAACCAACCAACUACUUUAAUCAAGCAAGUAACCAAUUGACCAAUAAAUUCACAAGUCAACCAACCAGUCAAUCAACUGACCGACCAACCAACCAAUUAACCAACUGACCAAGCAACCAAUCAACCAACUAACCAAUCAAUGAUAUAUUAAACCAAUUAACCAACCAACCACUUUAAUCAAGCAAGUAACCAAUCAACAAAUCAACCAAAAUAAUCAAUGAACCAAUUAAUUAAUCAACUGACCAAGCAACCAGCCAACCAACUAACCAACCAAUGACACAUUCAAUCAAUUAACCAAUGAACCAACCAAUUAAUCAGAGGUUGGUAGAGGAUUCUUUCAUUUUUACAUCAAGUGCUUAUGUUACACGAACUUGCACCCAUGUUAAUGCCCAUGGGUUUGUUGGUUUUGAUAGGGGAAUUGUCAAGCGCAAACAAGACGUGCUGCUAUCUUGAGGACAUAGAAAGUGUCUGCACCUUAGACCAACAAAAACCUGAUCUCAGAGUUCGGAGUCUAGAGUUUGGCGCUCAUGGUGCAGUUCGUUCCCUGUUGUUCAGAAGGUGCAUUUGCAAGCUAGUUUGAUGAUGAGAGUACACGACACAGUCCUUUCAUUUUCACACAAAAAUGGUCAGAUCCAGCAGCAAAAAGUAAAUAUUAACUACAGACCUUUCUUUUAUGUGAACCAUGAGGGAUAUCUAACAUAAGAUCCUAUACAAUACUGUCCCAAUUAUAAAACAAUUAAAAGCUUCUGUAAGGAACCAUUAGUUUGUGUGGACUGCUUUGACAAAAUAUCUCAUCCUGCUGACUUUUGACAGACAAAUACAUCGUUAUUUGUGCCUACCCCCCUUAUACUUGUGUAAGUCUUGAAAAAUUACAGUUUUACAUUUGAAAACUCUCAACUCCUUUUGGUCAAAUUUGCAAUUCCAAGUCAUAAUAAAAAAUGUUUUUCAGUCUCUUUCACGUGUCAAAAAUUCCUUACAGGAGCUUUAAUGAAGCAAUUUUAAAGUCGCUUUUGUUUCUACUGUUUAGGAGGUUUUUAAACACUUCUUAUCCGUCAAUUUUUAAAAGCUUACUGACAGGAAUUAAUGUCAAUAAAAUUGAUUAAUGCAAACGAUGCAUUCCUCUGUUGGUUAUGUAGAGCAGCAAAUCCUGUAAAGAAUAACUGCAGAACUCCAGAUUUUAAGUUAACCUUGGGAAGAAAAAAUUCACUGGCCAAACUUGCAGAAACUGGCGAGAGCUGCACCUUUACCAUUGAACUUGAAAAAGAAUACAGUGUAUGGUACAGAUCUAACUUCUGCUCGGCGAGAGACAAGUUUCUAAAGUUUUCUUAAUUUUUCUAAGAUUUUUAGAGCGCAUUAGAAGUGGGUUUUCCAAAAGUUCAUGCUUGAAAGUAUCUGUGAAGUCUUUGAUUUGAUCAGCGGAGGACUGCUCAUGCCAAGAAGUGAACAAAAAAGGCCUUACAUUUUUCUUUUACUCGCAAGAAAGCUGCUCCUUUUUUUUCUGCAUUUAAAGGAAGAAGGCGGACCUUCUUCGACAAUCAGAGUUCACCUUGAUUCAAACACCAGCUUCUUGUCCCUUCAUUAAAGCAGCUCAAACAGCAAGACACUGUGGGACCACAAAUUGCGAGCUUCUGUAGGCGAAGGUCAACUGAGAAGCUAGCGGGUCACUGAAUGAAACAGCAAAUGAGAUGACAAGUAGAAAUCAUCACAGGGAAAAGAGAAGAGAGAGUGAGGAGAGAGAGAGAGAGAGAGGAGAGAGGGAGGAGUUUGGAACGGAGCGGCGAAGUGCACACACACAGAGAAAACAUGAUGCUUCCCUGCGUCACGUCGUGAUGGACGGCACCCUCCGACUAAUAAAUCAGAGGCAGUGAAAAGGCAGGAUGCUGAGAAGGGUAUUCGGAGCAAACGCUACCCCGCGCUGAGAGAGGAGAGACGUGUCGGGAAUGUGGGAGCAGAUGCUCGCACACGGAGAAACAGAGAGAGAGAGAGAGAGAGAAAGACGAGCCUGGCCUAAUUUAGCCCUGCCUGAUGAAAAAUGGACAGGAAAGUGCUUAGUUGGCUCGCCCUUCCCUGCCGCCGCUCUUGCUCAUUUCCUCCUACUGCUUGCCCUAACUCCUUACCUACGUUUUUUAUACCCUUUCUGCCCUUUCCACUCCUUCUAUCUCUACUUGAUUCUCACACUUUGAUCUCUGUUAUCUCCUCACAACAACCCAGCUGUCUCACAGAAAUACAGAGAUACAUAAACUGGCUUGAGGCAGAUGGCAUUUUCCCAUGCAGCUGUAUAAAUAAAAAACACAAACAGUUUCAAGGGAACUUUCAAAACAGUAUGACACAGAACUAGGGCUGGGCGAUAAAACAGUAACAAUGUAUAUUGAAAAUUAUCAAUAUUAAUCAUUAUUAAUAUAAAACAUGGUCAAUAUAAUUUUCGAUAAUUGCCAUUCUGCCAUGUUUUGGUAGACGAUACGAAUUAGAACCAAGUAGCGAACAACUGCGUAGUAGCAACUGCAGCUAAAUGUAACCAUGACAUGUGAAGCUGACAGCACUGUCUGUGAGCAAAAUCGAAAAAUGAGUGCUACCCCUGGCAGAAAUGCAGAUAAAGGCUCAACAAAUGACGACAUCUUCGAUAACACUGGCACGAAAAUGUCGGUGGUGUGGAGGUAUUUUGGUUUUUUGAGGUCGAACAUGAAGCAGAGUAAUGUGCACUGCAAAUUAUGUCGAGUACAUGUUCCUGCAAAGUCGGGAAAUACCUCAAAUGUUUUUCACCAACUGAAGCAGCGCCACACGGCAGAGCACGCGCAAUGUUAAAGGUUACAAACCCUGAGUGGAGCAAGGAGCCUAUGGCGCCUGUGCAGCCGAACAUUAAGUUCGGCAAAGAGACACAAAGACCUCACAGAUGCAGUAGCUUACUGUAUUGCGAAAGACAUGGUACCAAUAAGCACUGUUAAAUUUCCUUUUUAUAUCAUGAUAUAUAUGUCGAUGUUGACUGAUACGAAAAAAAAAUAAAAAUAUAUUGUGAAAAAUCUUUUUGCAUAUCACCAAGUUCUACGCAGAAGACUAUCUAUUCGCAAAAUAAAUGCGAUGUUUAUCAAAUUUCGACAAAGUACAAUUGCAAUUUGCGGGUGUUUCCAUUGAACGGUGUUCAGUGCAUAAGCGAGCCGUUUGCCUCUCGUGAGCCGUGUUUGAAUGGCCGUUGCCUAGCAACGGUGUAAACUCCCUGCCCGUGCGACCUCGUAUUCCUUAAGCCUUUUUGCACACCAACAUGGACGAGACACUAAACAUUUUGCGUUUUGGAGCAGCUAUUUCUGUGACCAUUACUGCUGUUGCCGAUGCUGUCAUCAGAAGACGAAGGCAGCGGGUGACAAUUAAAAGGCAAAGCCCGUAUGUAUGGGAGCGGACACGGAUGAGGGAUUUCUGGAAGAGAAUCGUUAAUGAGGAAAUCACUGACGAAUUGUGGAUUCAAAACUUCAGGAUGACCCGGGAUACGUUCAAUUAACUGUGAUGCUAUUGAGCCUCUUGUGGCACCCGCCAUGUCAAGCCCCCGGGAGGCAGUUCCCACUUGGAAGCAUGAUCACAUGACCCGCUACGUCACGUCCGGUGACGUAGAAUUGCGAGAAUAGUGUUUCCAUUACACUUUUACGAUAUACUUCUAUAUCGACACGUCUGAAAAACCACCUCAUGAGAGCGUAAAAACUUUUUAGCCAUAUUUGAGAGGUUUUUCGAAAUGUAGGUGUUUCCAUUACCAGUUUUCUAUUGCGAUAUUUAAGUUGGGUAAUGGAAACACAGCUUAUAAUGCUUCCUAUCCAUUUAUCAAUAACAUUUAUGUACUCAAGGGUGGUUCUUGAGUCACUGAAGUCAUGCAACGAAACAAAAGUGUCACUUUUUAGGAACUUUUUCAGAGUGUUAAGGCUACAGCCUACCAACUGCUCAAAUAAGUCCCUCAAAUGAUCAGCUUGCAGCUGCGCUUUUCUCAGUCGUGAAUAAAGACCAAUGGCCACUCAUCAGACGCUAUUGUAUUCUCCACGGGUUCUUGUAGAUGCAAUCCUACUUCAGCAUUCUCUUUAAUUAGCAUGUCAAAGGCCGCGAUAUGGCGCCCUUUGACACACAAAAAAAGAACACGUGUUUGUGUUCUUUGUAUGUGAAUGUCGCACAUGUAAACUUGGCUCACAUGGCUGAGAUGUUUGGAGCAGGACACGUGGCUGUACUUAACAGGUCUUGUGAAACUCAAAGCUUCUCACAUCUCUGUGUAUGCCUGCUAAGUGUGUGUCGUUGAACCUUGAGAUAUUUAUAACGUUUCAAACCUUCAGAAUCAAUUGUUGACUCUCCUUCGUCCAAUUAGGGCUACUUCUCUCUGAUCCAUUUCUUUUCCAAGCGUGAGCUCUCGUCACCUUUCUGUCCAGCUUUUGGCUUUUCAGAGGAUGAGUCACUUGCUUACACGCCUGUUGCAGCCACAACACCAGAUUCUCCUUUAUUUUUCUUCAUCAUCUCAAAAUGAAAAGAAUCGGACUCUGGCGUGAAGUCCAGAGAAACAGAUCGAUAUCCUUACGACAUGUGCUUUGAUUCCUAUAAAGAGUUAUGUCAUAAGGCACUGGAAAGCUUCCUUGUACUUAUUUUUUUGUGUGUAAUUUUGUUUCCUUUCUUGUUGCUAAGCAGCCAUGCUGUGGCAUUUGAACAUCCCAGCCCCUCUCCCCAUCUGCGUCAGAAGAAAUAUUCAUCAAAAGCACACUUCCCCUGGAAUUCUAGGCCCGUCUGGGCGAUGUUUCAGAAAUCUGAUUUGAAAUAUUUAAUAUUUAUUUGAAUCAUCAUGUCCCAUUAGAGUAGCUGGUACACAGUCUUUCACAUAGACUGUAUAUACUAUGGACAACUUGGUUCAGCCUUCCGCCAGUAUACGGAUUUGAAGCCAAAAAGCUCUCAAUAAUUCCGCAUUUUUUCUCAAUUUCCUGAAACCAACAUUGCGCAGUGCCGUUGUACGCACUCCACCACUUUUACAGUAGCAUUGUGCGCAUUCAGAGGGAGAGUCGCUGUGAUGAUGCUUGGCUCAAACAGGGUAUUUGAGGUAUUUCCCGACUUUGAGGUAUUUCCCUCAAAUCUAUCACUAUAUAUAUUUUUCAUAUCAGUCAAUCUCAGUAUAUAUCACGAUAUAAAAAUGAGUGUUUAUUGGUAGCAUGUCUUUCGCAAUACAAUAAGCUACUGCAUCUGUGAGGUCUUUGUGUCUUUUCGACAUUUUGUUGUAGAGAAAGUGGACUGAAUGGUCGGCUGUUUCAGCUGCACAGGCACCAUGGGCUUCUUGCUCCACUCGGGGUUUGUAACCUUCUGCAUUGUGCGUGCUCUGCCGCAUGGCACUGCUUCACUUUGCGGGAACAUGUACUCGGACAGGGUAAGUUUGUCUUUUGCAAUUAAAACUGCAAGUGCAUUUAUGUUUUUGUUAUGAUGCAUGGUGCUGAAAUAUGCUGUUAUGAGAUUGCAAUUGGAUGAUCUUGCUUACCUACUCUAUGUAACAUGUUUGGGACUUGUUUCAGCCAUGUUGAUUCAAUCAUGUUUCCCCCCAUGUUUAGAGCUGUGUUCUCAUCCCACAUUUAAUGUCUGUUUGCCUUUACUGAAUCAUCAUGUCCCAUUGGAGUCGCUGAUACACAGUCUUUCCUGGUAGUCCCUGAGCUCCAUCAUGCUGUAGAUUCUUCUGGAUGGCUGCUGCAAAUGUUUUCCUGCCUGCUUUCCAGCUGCAUCAAUCUCGCCUCUGUCUAUCUCUCUCGUUUUUGUGUGUGUAUGUGUGUGUGUAUGUCCUUUUACCGAGCUUGCACAUUCAUAGAGGUUACAGGUCUACAGAAUCAAGUCUUGCUGAAGUGGUUCACUCCUCACUGGGGUCCAUCACCAUGGUAACAUGAGCCGAACACCUAACCUCCUGGGGAACAGGUCAUGUUCAGGACAAGAGAUCAUUCUUCGAGAGGCACUACCCACUGACAGAUCAAUACCUGUGAUGAGGGAGCUCUGUGAGCUGAUGGAGACAGGCGAGGAUGAGGGGAAAUCGCUUUGUCUGCCUGUAUGAAGUGAUGUACAAAAUAUAAACAGACGUUUUCUUACCAUCAAGGGAUAUCUAAUCUGAUUUCCCUCCUCUCUCCUUUGAGCCACAUUAAAGGUUCGGUCCCAUUCUGCUCUUGUCAACAGCUCCAAACUUUUCUCCGGGUUUCCAAAAAGUGUCCAUGUAUACACACCCAGCCUGACAUAUAGCGAGCAAUAUUCACCUCCAGAACCGAGCAAGAGAAAGAAAACAAAACUGAGAACAUUUCAAAUACGGAUCCUUGCUAGAAAAAUCCAUCAUUCACUGCUUUAUUUGCUAUGUUACACUCACAAGGUCGAUACCGGGUAAGCAGAAGAGAAGCUCUGUAUUUGAGGGUGUGCGGCAGAGGCCUCCCAGGUAGUCGCAGUCAUUUUUUUUACCUGCAAAGACAGGCCGUUAUUGUUACGGUGUUGAUUGCUUGACUGUGUGUGCGUGUGUGUUCUUGUGUGUACAUAGGGAACCACGGCACACACAGUGGGCAGCUUGCAGCGAUUUUCACAGAAGGCCAUUACUUUUGUACCUGUGAUGUAUCAAGCGGGAAUUCAUUCUCUCACUCUUUCUGCACGUACUCGGGAUCCCUCACACACACACAUAGGAACUCACGCAGAGCCAGUGUCCCUGUCGUCCAUCUCAGCCUGGCACCCCAGGACAGUGAUGUUUUUUCUUUGGCGCCGACGGCGUGGGGGUAUAUUUCACCGACUGAUAGCAUUCAACGUCUUUCUCUCUCUAGCUUGAUCACUCUAUCUCCCCGUCUUCCCAUCUCUGUUUAAUCCUCUCUGCAUUGUUCCAGCCAUAGGAGACAUGCGUUCGCAGUGAAGGCGAGGAAUGAACACUUAGAAAAUGUCUCAAGCAUUACCUCUAAGUGUCAAAAGCGAAAGCUUUCACGGACAUUCAGCAGAGAGAAAUGUCUUUAUAGGAAUGCAGUUUUCCACCUAUAGAACCAUCAUGACUCCAAACUGCAUUUGACAUCAGGAAAAAAAAAUCUCCUUUAUUUUCUUGCUUUUUACUGGGGGGAUAUGUUUCUAUUUCAAACUACGGCAAAAUUGCAAUGCAGCUCUGUAUCAUUCCUACAUCAGGUUGAGAUGUAAAGUGCUCCCUUGUCACUUCAGCCAUGGUAAACAUUUAGAGUUGUAAAACUGAAAGAUACCUUUCCUGGUCAUUCAGUUUUGAACUUCUGGGGGUAAAACUCACAUUUCACACCCGAACAACAAUCUUUAGGAACCUAGAAUGAAUUCAUAAUCAUCAUUUUUAUGGCGCUAUCAGAUUACUCGAGUAGUAGCGCUCAUAUUGAAAAUGCUGACUCACCCUAAGUUUAGCCACUUUGCGAAUAGCUACAGUGUGUGCCUACCUGUCACCCCCAAUUUCCACCACAUCUGGGACAGCUACAAAAAGGCCGUAUCCGCCGAUCGUAGCUGAUCGUAACCAUUCAAGUUAAUGCGUCAAUUUCCACCGGCUUCUUUCCGUUCCGCUGCGGAUCACCGGAUUCCACAGCUGAUCACAAGAGUUCUAUUUUUUCCACACGCCGGAGCAUGCCGGAUAAAUUCAGCACAGAUUAACCCGUGCUGGAAAGGAAGUCGGGUACAGACACAAAAUAAAACAUCCGGCUUCUUUUCAAAAUAAAACACUAAGUGUUUCAGGCAGAUAUUUCACACCAUGCUAAUGGGCGGGAUGAACAAGUGAAAGGUUUAUAGACAGCAUUUCAUCCCAAUGACACCAUGGAUGAGAGGAUAUCUAGAAGUAGUUUUCCUCCUCUGGAAGGACACAGUCUACUGCUUAUAUGGUUAGCCUAUGUGGCUAAAGACGACUUGUUAUCGCACAAUUGCACGGGAAUCCACAGGAAUCCACGGGAAUCCAUGGGUUCUUGUGAGUUCUCGGGAUUCCUGCUGUCCGUAUCCACCACGAAAUCUGCCUCACAAAUGGAUCCAGUAGGAAUUGGCGUACGGCUAAAACCGCCUGUUUCAAAAAAGCAGGUGACCUCAAGGUCUCAUGAUUUGGCUCAUUAGUUCCCACCUGUCAUUUGUUUAAAGGGGACGCAUUAGUGUGACACAGCUGAGUUGGAGCUGCUGAUAUGGCGCCCGGCGGUGAAUGACCACAAAACUGUAGCCUCAAAAUCAUGAGUGCCUGUAUGACACUUAACAGAGUAACUAUAUGUGACUAUCAUGUAACAGUAAGAUUGUUAUUUUCAUAAUGAUGGGUGUAUGAAUAUUUUCCCAAGAAUACAAGAAUUCUAUGUUUCCCACCCGGCAACACUGAUUCCCAUGUUUAGAAGCGUUUACAUGGAGGUUCUUGACUUGAGAGGAUCAAAACAAUAUUUAUAGAAUGAACCGCUGAUAACCUCGCCAAGAGCAUACAGCUGGUAACUCAACUGAAGCUGUAACAGGACUUAAUGGCGAACUUUUCACAUGUGCCGAGGCUAUAAAGUCAUGAAAUCACAUUAUUCACACAACCUCGUCAAGUUCCCAGAAAUUCAGAGUGAGAAAAAGCUGAUUUUCCUGCUCUAUGAAUGGCAGCUUUGAGGAUUUAGUUGAUUUAUUCAUUCAUUUCCGUAUUUUAGGCCAUCCUUUCAAAUAUGCUCACUUCUAAGUGAAAUUAUGGUUUAAUUUGUUUUUUAAUCAAUCCAUCAGGAAAAGCAUACACAGACUUUUUAAAGAGAGAGAACCUCAGUCAACCUGAACGGUGUGAAUGAGAUAUUUUCUUCUUUUUUUUUUUCACUCAGUUUCUUCUCUGCUGCUGAAGGACAAACUGAAUGUGAGAUCCACAAAUACAAAUCAACAGUCAAUCUGGAGGAAAAGCUGGGACUGAAUGCAUUAAGUUUUUUGUUUUUUUUUACUCAACCCAGUGAAUAGUACUGUGCAGCCUAUUAAAUUAACUAGACUAUUCAUCCUGGACUUUUUAAUGCAUAAAUAGUGACUCAGUUUUUCCUGGUGAAGGUCAGAACGAAGUAACAUGUGAGAACAGCAAAAAAAAAAAAAAGAAAUGCUGGUUCUUAUGAAUAAAAGGGUUGAGGUUGACUGCUUUGCAAGGAUUUGUUGUGUUGAAGAAGUUAAUCCUGACAUAACAAAAGCCGACAUGCUGUUUUAAAGUCUUCCCAGAGCUGCAGAAUUACAUUUUACACAGAACUGGGUAUUUUCAUGUGAUGUUUACAGCCAUAACAGUGAAAUGUAAUAUUAAAACCAGAGUGAGAAUAACUCCAGAGCUACAUUUAAUACUCUUGGGAGUUGAUGUCUAGCAGUGCAAGAGUGGAUUUUGUUUUCUUUAACGAGUCAUCCUAAAGCCCCCCUUAAGUGGAUAUCCAGGAUAAUUGGGGAGCACUCUCCGACCCGUCUCUUUAGCAGUGAUGGUGUCAGCUGAGCUAAUCUUUUAUCCCACUGGUUCUCCAUCCAGGCUGGAGGGUCUAAUCCUUCAGCUAAGAGAGGAUUUCAUGCAGUGGGUUGUGGAAAUACCUUUAUUUUCUGACGCUUAUUUUUAUUUAUUUCUUCACUGAAACAAACAAGACAAAGUGCAACGUUAGACACAACUUUGGAUGGAUGAGCACAAACACAGAGAUGAGUCCGUAUAUCUGGUGUUAUUGUUUAUUACAAACACGGUUAUAGGUGCGAUGACGAGUGCAGAGCUGAAUACGUUUUGACAGAGGUGUGUGUAAAACCUAAUUUGCUACUGGUAGGUCACCGCCUAACAUCCAGGGUCAGCCGGGUUAAAACAGCACGACAAGAUUUAUUCCUUUCCUUUGACUUGACAUUUGCUUAAGUGCUGAGAUUAGCCUUGAGCGGGGUUGUGAACCUGACCUCACUUUACUUUCUACUGCCCCGGACCAUCAGUGGCACAUAUGUCUGUGAGGGUUUGCCUAUUUUAUUUGAGGUCUGAUGUUCCUGUCAUGAAAUUUUAUGGUCACCUUGCCCUCCGCCUACUCUUUUGCUCUCCCUCUCUUAGGAAAGAACAGGGCAGACAAUGGUAGCUAGCUUCCUUAUAGCUUUUAACUGUAACUGUGGACCAAUUUAAGUCACAGUACUCACAGUAAGAUUUGUGGGCUCUUGUACUAUCAUGCGUGGACUACAGCAACUCCUUACUGGUAGGCCUCCCUGUGAACCUCUGCAUGAUGUUCCAAAUUCCUGUUUGGUUUUCUCUCUUUUUUUUCCCCCAUUGCCUUUUAGUAGCAUUCUACAUUACAUGUAAAGACCUACAAUCACUGACGUAACUUGUGAGACGGGCACGGGGGACAUGUCAUUUUGGUUCCCUGCAGUUUUAACCAUCUGAAAAAGUUGUUACUUUACGCUAUAGCAAACUGAUACACCUCAGGCACUAGGACCAAAAGGCUGCUCAAGCCUAAAACUGGUUUCUCUCGGAUUGGACCGCUCACAAGGUCCUUGAUUAGCAAUUUUAGUAGCGACUGCACGAUUGCAAUACACAGAGGUCUAGGGAGCCAGCACAAACCUAAACCAAUGAGCCACUCUGUAGCCACAAAUAAUGCUCAGAACAGCACCUAACUUCAUCAACAGUACAUUAAAGGGUCCCAGCCAUAGCACUAGCCACCAAACAUCUUUUUUAACUUUGACUAAUUUCUUUAGCAAAGAGACUAAACACAAUUCACCCACUCUCUUCCAGCAGCCGCUUGUUUGUAGCGAGACCUAGGGCCAGUACAUUAUGGACUACAGCAGGGUGCCACAGCUCAAGGAAGAACAUUUAUGAUCAUUACUGUAUUAUUUCCUUGACGUAAUAAUCAUCAAAAUAAUCAUUUUGCACUGCAGACGUGGUAGUUCAUCUGCCUUAGCGUCUCACUCUGAUUGCAUUUCCAUGAAGUAAUGAUCAUAAAUGUUCUUCCUUGAGCUGUGGCACCCCACUGUAGUCCAUAGAGAGAGUGAGAGAGUUAUGUUUAGUCUCUUUGCUAAAAAAUUUAGGCAAAGUUAAAAAGAUGUUUGGUGGCUAGUGAUGUGGCUGGGACCCUAUAUGUACUGUUGAUGAAGUUAGGUGCUGUUCUGAGCAUUAUUUGUGGCUAUAGAGUGGCGUUUUGGUUGAGGUUUGUUUAUGGCUCCUCAGACUGCUGUGUAUUGCUAUCGCGUGGUCGUUGCUAAAGUUGCUAUAACUAGAGAAGCGAGCUGUUGCUUCUCGACAACACUGAUCUCUCAAGGGGGUGUCUAACUCAGUGCAAACACCGUUGCACUGAUUAAUUUUACGCUGGAAUAUUCCUUUAAGACACCCCCACCUUUGCAAUCAAAAUUUCAUCCAUGCCUACAAUACUGCAUCUAAAUCAGCUCCUGUCUACUGCUUUCCUUCAUUCAGGGGGACAAUCCACUUUUUGCAAAUGAAAAGCGUCCCUGUAAACUACAUGGCAAAUGACAUGUGACUCAAAAUGGUGUAAAACAACUUUUCCAGUCAGGUAAGAUAUAACGACUCCUGUGUGUCUGUUCAUGCCGUCAGCAUCAGCUGAAGCUCUUUCUAGUGGCGUAGUCUUUUCAGAACUGUGAAUAAAAAAUUAACACGUGGGCCUAAGCGCUGUAUAAACAGACUUUAAAUCAAUAUUUUAAACAUUUACAUCAGUAUACCCCUUCAAGUCCGCAUCCUCCUUCGCCCAGACUGUUAAUGAAUGUAAAGGUAGCCGCAUACUCCCCCACCGAGCCUCUUUACAAGGACUUAUUUUGAAGUGUGUGGGAGCUGUGUUACUAGUAUAUGGCAGACGCAUCUCUUGAGUAUUUAAUAGUGUGUAUUCAUUCAUUACUGCACACUUCAUUUUCCAUAAGAGCCAGGAAAAAACGCAACCAUCAUUUAAAUGAAUGAAUAAACAUGCAAAUAAUAGCUCAGAAGCUCAAAGACUCAUCUCCUCUAUGUAAUAAUAUUGUUAAUUGAAUUACUGUCAUAUUAAUGUUUCAAUCGUGGUAAAGGGAAAGUGUCUGUCUGCAGUGAACUGUGACAAAAAAGAGGCUCUGUCGACCUUUAAUGCAAGUAGCAGGUUUAAGAGGCAUUAGGGUAAAAUAGUCUUUCAUAAAUGUGCAUUUUUUGUGUUUCUCCAGCAUUAUAAUGACCAAAUGUCCUCCAACAAACAGAAUAUGGAAAAUGAGGGAGCUUCGUGCUGGUUAGCAGCCAGACGGACGGUGGGGUUUGGAUUGAUGCACUAAUCUUGUUAUUGUUUCCAAAUGCAAAAUGGCUUUUCGAAAGGCUUUUUAUCUAGCAGAGUGCAGUUUCUUUGCCUGAGUCAAUACAACGUUGGAUCGCUGCAAACAAAAUGUCUCUGGUGUCUUUUGUCUGCCAGCCAGUCGGUUGGAUGCUGAAGGCUUGUCAGAAGCAUUCCCCACUCCGGGUGUUUUCUCAGGCUGUUCAACAGCAAUUACUCUCAAAGUGUUGACCUUUUCAGGAUCUGUCAACGUGGUUUAAAUGUUGGGUAGUUUGUCCGCUUAAAUAUUAGAGGAAUUAGGUUUGGACAUGUUUGAGUCAAGUGUAUUAUUUGCAGGCUAUCCUGUGAAGGCUAUUGUUAUUUUUGAAGAAUAAGGUGAAUCAGAGGUGAGAAAGUGAAAGCCACAUAAUGAAAUGACAAUUAUCACUGAAGGCUUGAAUGGCCAACAAGUUGACUCUGCCCCUUUGUUGUAUGCGUUUGUCAGCCUGACGCAUUUUGCAGCUUAAUGCUUGAAAAUCUGCGUCAUAACAUUUUCCGAACUGACCCAUUCUGCAAAAUCUUAGCAACAUCCAGAAGAGGAUUAAAACAUAAAUUAAAUUAGAACACAAAAAAGGUGUAAUCCCCUUUGCUCGGUGGAUGUGCACUGGCCUUCAUUGUGGCUGCCAGUGUUUUCUUUGGAGAUGACACGCAACUGUAAAUACACACCAGAGAGAGAAAAGGUGCCAAGAGGCUGUGGCAGCACAUGCUGUGUGUAUGGAGUGAAAGCAGCAGAGCUGCUCAAGGAUCUGGGGGUGAUGAAUGCAAGGCUGAGGAGUGAAUAAGGGGGCUUUGGGAUAAUGGCUCAGAGUCAAGCAAUAUUUGACUGUUGCAUUGGGUAAUCCUCUGCUUCCAGUCCCUCUGCCUGAAGGUGAUAAUGCCUCUGCACUGCUGCUGAGCUGCACAUGCGACUGGAAUCAAACACUGGCACUGUUUCAUGUCAAAAGGAAAGCCAGUGAGAAGAGGUGCAAUUGUGUGGCAUAAAGCGGCAUCUCUCUCAGAGUAGAGGGGCUCAUAUAUCUUGCUGUCUUGUCAUCAUAAAUCAGACUGAGAAGCAAAAACAAAACUCAGUCUGUGGAUAAAUAAUUCUGAGUUCACUGUGUCUGCUCAGUCUAAUCUCUACUGAUGCUUACUGUAAACCGUUAAGGUCAAAUUGUACUUAAAGGAUCAGAAUCUAAUCCAAGUUCAACCCCCCUUGUAGAUACAAAAGUGCUGGGAUGACACAUUCUUUAUUUAAUUGCAGAAUUGAUUGAUGGGAGUUGGCACAUUGAUCUCAAGAGUCAAAAAUCGAUUUUUGUCCUUUUAAAAAAUGUCCCAUGUGUCCAUUUUAAGGUUUAUUUAAUUGCUGUCAUUUGGCUGAUGUAUCGAUAUCCACAAUAAUGCCUUCCCAGAGGUUGAAUAAUUGCUUUGCUGGGAAAAACCCAACAAAAGCUUCUAACAAAUAUCCAUAAAAGACAGGCGCAUAAUACAACAUAGCCCCAGUAUUAAAGAGCCCUCUGUCUGAGGGGACUUUGUUGCUCGUGAUCAAGAAAUAAAAACUUGUUCGUUUUUUCCUCACAAACACCAAAUAAGAAGCUCUUUUGUCUUAGACCUUUGAUUUCCAUGAGAUAGAGCUGCUACUUUCUGUACUUAAGCGAGAUCCUCCUCACGGUGUCCAAGAAAAUAGGUACUGACAGUCGUUCAGGGUUAGUGUCGCCUUCCCAGUUCUGUAAAUGUGCAUAUCAUCCCCCCGAAGAUGUGGUAUCCAUGGUUUCCAAAAAAAUGUCAAAUGUAGAUUCAGUAGACCACAGUGAAGUGUCUGACUGAUCAACAGAUCAAGAAAAUCAAAAAUACACCCUUGACAGUCAGGGGGGAUUUAAGGAUUGGGUGGUCGCCUGUCAUCUCAAGGGCUUCCUUCCAGCAUGUCAGUCAUCGGAGGUUUCCCAGUGAUUUUACCGGCUGUAUUGACCCCUCUUGUCAGUCUCCCUCUAUCUUUGACAUCCAGAAGUCAGUACAAUGCUACCUUGUUGAAGGACAAAAUACUUUCUAUCAAAUUCUUGUACACCGUAUCAAGAGUCUUUUGACUUUCUCCAAAGCAUAAUCUGUAUCAUCUAUGAAUGUUAAGUGGCUUUUAAUAUGAGUUUCUUAAUUAUGUUUUACCAGUUUAUUAAAGUACAGUGUUUAUUUGCUGCUGCAUGGCCAAAUUAUGGAGCAACACAAAGUUCCGUUUCAUUGCUAUGCAGAUGACACUCAGAUUUACCAUCCUGAGACCUGAAGACCCUUGAAGCCUUGCUGCCGUUAAAGACAGUCUCUUAGAGUUGUAUGGCCUUGAACUUUCUUCAACUAAAUAACUCGGAAUCAAAAAUAAUAUUGCUCAGCUUUAAAAAGCACGACCGUAUAGUUAAGGGCGGCCAUGAAACUUAACUUUCAAGAUAAAUGGAUCCACAACAAGAACCUCCUUUACGUCAUGAAAGCCUGAACUUGAAGCUGCACUUGUGCAAGUUUUCUAUUAUAUAGCUGAAAAACGAAGAUCUAUAAGGACACCAAAGUGUUCCAGUGUGUUUGCAAGUCUCUAGGGUUAGAGAACUAAAAAGAAAGCCGGUGCAAUCACAGCUGGGUGCUCUUAAGGCGUCUCCGCUGGGUCCUUUUAACUCCCAUUAACCCUCACUGCAGCCUGCAUCAGGUGACUGUCAGGCAGUCGGCAGUGCUUUAAAGCUUAAACGCUGAGCGAUCCUCGAUACGUCAGCAACUUCAGAUAGGGAUUGGGCGGAGGAGUGGGGGGAUUCCCGGGGGGAUCAGUCGUGUCACUGCGGCAGCCUGAAUACUGAUGGGCCUGUACAUGUGUGUGCUUGAAUCAAGUCUUGUUAAAGGGGGCUCGCUGCUUUCUGCACGCCUCGGAUUCUAUCUGCCGUCCUCUGUUUCUCUUGGGUUGACCCUUCCGGCACCUUGAGCUGUUGUAAUUGGAGCUAAGGGGGUCACCAUCACCAUCGUCUGGCAGACCCCCCACCCACACACACACACACACAAACUCAUUCCCAGAAUCACAAGGAGUCCUGUCAUCAAUAACAACACCAAUGCUUGUGGGUGUUAGAGAUGGUAAGGGGGCCCUGAAUUGUGAUUCAUCACACCCAACAAAGCACACACACUCUGUCACUUCAACACACACACACACACACAUACACACACACACCACGGGCUGAUGAUCAUUAAUGAGGACUGGCUCGUCUAUCCCUGCACUCUCUCUCCUGCUGUCCGCUCUUUCAUUACCCAACAUGAAUACCUUACUUGUUAUAUCUGUCUCUCUCUCAUCCUCUCUCUCUCUCGUCCUCUUUUCUCCCUCACCCUUUCAUACUGACAUAUGCAGCCAGCGCACACACACACACACACAGGGACACUGCUCUUCUCCCGCACUUCUCCCACCAUCACCAACAUGACUCCUUGUCUCCGCCUGUGGCCUCAAUCCAUGUGUUAUUGAUUGAAUCCUCUCUCAGACACACACACACACGCGCAUACACACACAUACGCACAUACACACACAGUGCCCACUCAAGCUUCCAAUCACACACAAAGCAAGACCCUGGUGACUAAUACUGGCUGAUCCUCAGUGACCAAUAAAAAGAGCCUAGAGACUGACAGGUUGCUCGGCAGCUCUGAUUUAUUAAGUGGGGUCUCCAGUCUCUCCCCUUCUCCCCUCACCUUAAUUACUUUUCCUUUCUCUCUCCUCUAUUUCUCUCUCUUGUUUCUGAACCGUCUUUGACUUUUCCCUUCUUACUUAAAGUUUCCUUUCAUUCUCUGAAGUAUAAGACAGCUUAGAAAUGUUUAAAAAAGCCAGUUAAAUCUCAUAAAUGAUGCAGCUGAAAAGUGCGGGUAUGGCUCUGUAGUGGGGAGCACCGCAUGGACUUAAAAUCCAUUGUUUCUCACUGCGUCAUUUGAUACAAGUUAAAACCGUCCCAUGCAAAGAGGGAACUGUUUAUAAGAUUGAUUUUUUUUUCUUCUUUUUGCUGUCUUCCAUCUUUUGUUUUUGUUUUUUCUGUGUUAAAAAAAAAGCACAAAAAUAAAAGAGAAUAAUAAAACAGGGAUCACAGAGGCUGUACUGUGAGAAGAAAACAAAAUGUAUUUUUGAAGAAACUAACUCUCUCAGAUACUCAGACGUAAAAGUUGGAGGAGGCCUCAUGUGAGAGACUGCAUGUGCAAAGAGUUCAACAGUUUCAAAAUACCGUAUCUUUUGCACUAGAAGGCGCACUUAAAAUCCUUAAAUUUUCUCAGAAAUCGACACUGUGCCUUAUAAUCUAGUGCGCCUUAUAUGUGAUUACUUGUGUUAACUGACCGAUUUUGUGUGGUACAAUGCACUGAAUAAAGCCACUCCGCUCAAUGGAUAUUCGGUGCAUUACUGUACGCUGUGUCACUACCUGAUCGGCCCCUGAGCAGUUUACAACACUGCCCGACUGUAAUGUCUGAACUAGAAGUGCAUUCACGUAAGGCAGGCCGGGCCCGGAGUACGCGCUAGCAGCAAUAAACCAAGCGAUUCUUAAUGCACCUUAAUCCAGUGCAAUCCAAUCCAGUGCGCUUUAUGUGUGAACAUAGACACGUUAAUUCACAGUGCACUAUAUAAUCUGGUGCGAAAAAUAUACAGUAAUGUAUAAACUAUGAUAAAUAAUUUUAUUACUAAUAUCUAAAGGUCCUUACACACCGGGACUGAUGCAAAUACACGACACAAAAUUACGAAAUAUUCGGAGGCGAAUUUUGAUGCGCCUGACUAUAUACAUCAAGCCUGAUGCGAUUUUGUGACUUUCCCAAAGGAAAAAAGACGUGUCGUGGGUGGAAGUGAGAAGACUGACACAACAGCAGACUGACUGUUUUUCAGUUCUGAUUAGACACUAGUGUUGAGAUGGCUGUCUGUCAUGAUAGCAUGUACUGAGUCGGGGCCAGUACCAGAUAAACUCAUUAAACUAUAAUCCAUAAACGUAAGGUAACAACAGAGACCUAAUGGUGCUGUGACAGCAACGUGAUUGAGUUUGAGACAGUGAAAAUACAUAUGGUAUGUUGUAUCUGAACAGGUUAGCUUACGAGCUAAAGUUACUUAGCACAGAUGAAAGUUAAAACAAAGACGUUUAGCAAACUGUUAAAGCACACAAACCAUCGUCAUAUGAGAAAUCCGACGCUAUGACUCUCCACAAGUUGUCCUUCAGGUCGUUAUCUUUGUAAUAUUUGUGUCUUUUAUCAAAAAGCACUCUGUUCUCCGACACAUAAACAAUCAGCCGGUCGGCCAUGUUGGAUAUACGGGUGAAUCAGACGUCACAGCAACACGAAAUCUGAUUGGUCAGAAACUUGACUGUGAUACGAAAAAAAUAAAUGCUGCAAUAUGGCAGGACGGGAAAACGUCGCUGAUGUGAACGCUUGUAUUGACAGGAUACGGGUUCGAAAAAAAUAUUGACGUCCGAAAUAAUUGCAUGAAAAAAACGCUCCCGGUGUGAAAGGACCUUUAAUCAUGAAAAAACAGCAAAGAAUUGAGAUAUGUCAUCAUUAAUCGGAGUAUAAAGCAACCAGAAAAGCUAGAGUUAUCUCAGAAGUGAUGACACAAUAUGUUUUGGUAUGACUCUGUAGUGGGAGUCCCUGCAUGGACUCAAAAUAACUUCCAAAAUCUGUUUGUCACUGCAUCAUUUUUUUUUUUUUUUUUUGGUUUUUCACUUUUAUAAACAUACAUUAUAAAACCAAACAAACAAAAAAGAUAUCAGAGCACAAAACAAAACCAAAAGAAAUCCCACCCACCCAUGCAUUUUAUAUUUCUACAUAGUAUGUAUGAAUUAUACGUAUGAUUAAAAGAACAUAAGUGAAUAAAGAGAUGGCAUGAGACAGGUAAACGAAGGGCACAUACAGAAAAUAAAUGAAAGGGCAGACAGUCCUCAUCUUCCAGGGGCAGAUGAUGAAUUAUAGCUUGUGUAAAAAGGAGUGCAGAGGUUGCCAGUAGCAUUUUUUUCUCGCCAUUUUCCAUCUCUUAUUUUUUAAUCAAAACAAGGGGAAAGUUACAUUUUCUGAUCUCUAUGAGUGAAUUAGCCAAGACAGAAAAAAAGAUGAGAAAAAGGAAGUUGGAAGAGGCUGUACUGUAUGAGGAAAACAAAACAAGAGGGAAGGGAUAGGUCUGGAAAUAAAGUGAGGGACGGAAAUAGAUGGAUGAUAACAAAGUAAUCUUGGGGGGAUUGCAGGGACCAAGGUAAUGGAUACUGCAGAUCCCAGAGAUAGUGAGACAGGAGCAGGAUUAAGUGCUGAAAAACAAAAUAUUACUUCUGCAGCACACAGCCCUGAUAUAAAGCUAAGUGAUGAGAAAGGCCUGGUUUGUUGCAAAAGUUGAAAUACACCAAGUGUUUUUUUCCCACUGCUGGAUGUCACCCAGACAGUUUACUUCAUAGUUUUAUAUCAUCUCCUGUAUUGUGCUCAUAUUUGUGACCGCUUAAACCAUAAAUCUCUGCCAAAUGUCAGCAAAUAACUCCAUUGGCCGGGGCAGAGGUGCUCUAUUUACCAGGAAGCAGCAGUGUAAGGGUGUAAGGUUAAAUAGCCUGCUUACUGUGUUUUACAAUAUGAGGGUCAAAGGUCAGUCAGUGCAGAAUCACAGAGACAUGGGGUGAAAUUGGCUCGGCCCUGAAUUGACUAAAAUAGUAAGGUUGCCCUAUUCUACCAGGGGCUGUACCAGGGGGGUGGCAAAGGGUGGCACUGACCCCAAAAAUCUGACAGCUGGUCCCACUACAUGAAUUUUUAAAGAGCUGUCUGCCAGGUCAUGAGUUAGUGUGAAACUACUCCACAAUGUUCAUCGCAGCACCAAUGUUUCGUCUUAAAUGAGAAGAUCUCAUCAAUGGAAAGAGUACAUUUGGGUUUUUUGAGCAAGUACAUUUUCUUUUAUUGUGAUUUGUUGUGAUGCAUUUCCUGAGAGCCUAAGGAAUCAAGCAAAGAAGAAUUAUAGGGAUGUGUGGUGCCACAUUUUAAUCAAAAUAUCUACACACAAGAAGUUAACAGUAUUAUACUGUAAUUUCAGUUUCUUACGUUAUGGAAAUAGUGUAGAUACGAAUGGUUGUCAAACACUGCAUACACUAAAUACUUUAGCAGGAAUCAGUGGGGCCCAUUACCCAAAUGCAUUUUAAAUUGAAAUAUCUAUACACAAGAAGUUAACGGUAUUAUACUGUGAUUUUAGUUUUGACAUUAAUGGAAAUAAUGUAGAUACGAAUGCUUGUCAAACUCUGCAUACAGUGACUAUUUUUUAGUAGUCAGUGGGGCCCAUUAGCCAAAUACAUUUUAAAUUAAAAUAAUAAUACACAAGACGUUUACAGUAUGAUACUGUGAUUUUAGUUUUUGACCUUAAUGGAAAUAGUGUACAUAAAAACGGUUGUUAAACACUGUAUACACUAAAUACUUUUGCAGUAGUCAGUGGUGCGUAUUACCCAAAUACAUUUUAAAUUAAAGUAUCUAUACACAAGAAGUUCACGCUAUUAUACUGUGAUUUCAGUUUUUGACGUUAAUGGAUAUAGUGUAGAUAAGAAUGACUGUCAAACACUGCAUAGGCUAACUACUUUUGCAGGAGUUAGAGGGGCCCAUUACCCAAAUACAUUUUAAAUUGAAAUAUCUAUACACAAGAAGUUAACGGUAUUAUACUGUGAUUUUAGUUUUUGUCGUUAAUGGAAAUAUUGACGCAGGAAUGGUUGUCAGACUCCACUCUUCAAUAAUAAUCACUCUAGAACUUGCAGUCCUUUCAACCUUGUUUGUUCUGUUCACAUAAUGUAUUUUUUCAGCCAAUUACAGUGUUGAGUGGUUCAUAUACUUGACCUUGUCCUCAUGAUCAUUUGUUCACCCUCACCUUGUUCAACCUCUGCUUUCUAUGGCUGGUUCAGCUGCUUUUUUUUGUUACUACAUGAAGUUCAAGAAGACUUUGGAUGUAUUGAAGUGGAAAAAUUGCACAGUAUUUUAUAUGUCAGGUUCACAGUCCUAUUACCAGUCCUGUCUGUUUUUCCUCACGUCCUUUCUUCACAGCUUCUCCGUUUCAGAUUGUAGGAGGCUGAUUGGUAUUUUAAAAAACGCUCCAUGACCCUUUGCUUCACGAGUGCUGUGUCACAUUUCUAAAUGGAUGCUCUGCACCUUUAAUCAUAGAAGUGUCACGUACAUAAGAAAGCAGUGAUGAGUCAUCCUUGAAGGCUUUGAAAAGCAUUGACAGGUGAUGUGUCUUCACACUCAGGAUGGGAAGAUUUGUUGUGUUCAAAACGCUCAAAUAAAAAAAAAAAAUUAUGGAAGCGUUUGCGUCUUUAACAAAUCACUCAUCCUGUUUGCGUUGUAGACUUUUUGAUGAUUUCGAAAAAGAGUUAGGAAGUAAAUGUCACCUCUUGAACCAUACCUGUCAAAACACUUUGUUUUUGUAGUGGAAGCUUAAGUUGGAGAUGACAAGUGAUUGUACAUUUUAGCCUUUUGAAUAAGUGUGAGCUGACAAACUCCAUCAGCUUUUACAUAUCCUGGAGAGGCAGGGUCGCCAAAUAAUAAAUGACAAGAAUAUAUUGUCCUUUAAAUCUUUUUUCAUGAUGCUAAAAGCAAAACAACUUGUGUCUUUGACUGGCACAGUGGCAACACAAAACACGAUUAAAAAUGUAUCUGAAAAACACAAAAUAACUAAAAACCUUGGCUCUGUGUGUCAGACGGAUUGAGUUGUUGAGGUAAAAUGUAGCAGGAGGCAACACUUUCGGUGCACUGUGAUAUAUGUCAGACAAUAAAGGCCGUUGAUGCAAAUAUCCGCCGCUUCUAAUCAGCUGUUUGAGCUGCAUCUGAAAGCUGCAUGUCACCAUAAACAAUAGAUGCACUCUGUCUUCAGUACAUAUGCGAGAAGACUUUGAAGUUGCAUUUCUCAAGAAAGACAAAGCCUUACUUCUAACACAGUAUGUCAUUUUUCCACAUUAGGAAGCUUCAUGAUGGACUCGCUGUCGAGACUAUAGCAAUACUAAGUCUGUUUCAAGUUUGCAACUCUUGGAAGUUCAAACUACCGAGUGCAUCCAAUAACUGCUGCUGUUUCCUUUCCUCUUAGAGUAACAAUAGGAUGAGUCAAGAUCCAACAACAAAAGAGAAUAUAUUCCUCUCCAGGAAAUUUAAAAAGAAAACAAAGUAGAUUUUUUUCUUCAAUUCUUUGUUUAGAAGUGUAAGCACACCUGAAUUCAAAACUUUUGUUUGGCUGUCUGAGCUGUCUGAAGGACUGGGCACAAAAAAUGCACCUGUUCCCACCUCACUUUCUUUCAGGUGUUCAGGUUUUUACAAGUUUUGAAGAACUGGUAUUAUUUGGCCAAAAUUGUUCUUUUAGGCAGAGGCGCAGUCGGAAUGGUGAUCAGUGGUGGCAUCGCCCUCCCUUAAAUCGCCACCAUAGACUGUAAAAAACAUGCAGGAAGUUUCAGAGAUGUUAAAAGUUUGUUUUUGUGGUAAAUAUUGGAGCGUAUACAUGAGAGAGUAAUCAUCAGGAUACUUUGCCAUUUACCUCCACCGCAUCCAGAACGGCUCUGAAAAGGCCAUAUCCACCAAUCGUAGCUGAUUGUAAUCAUUCAAGUUAAUGUGUCAAUUUUCCAACAGCUUCUCUCUGUUCCGGACGCCGGAGCAUGCCGGGUAAAUUCAGCGUAGAUUAACCCGUGCUGGAAAAGAAGUCGGGCACAGACACAAAAUAAAACAUCUGGCUUCUUUUUAAAAUAAAACACUACGUGUUUCAAGAGAAUUGAAUUUCAUACUAUGCAAACGGGCGGGGACGAACAAGUGAAAGGUUUAUAAACAGAAUUUCAUCCCGGUGAAACCAUGGAUGAGGAGAUGCUGAUUUUAGAAGUCGAUUUACUCUCGAAGGACACAAUCUACUGCGAAUAUGGUUAGCCUGUGUGGCUAGAGACAUCUUGUUAUCGCGUGAUUGCACAUGAAUCCGUGGGUUCUGGUGAGUUCUCGCGAUUCCUGCUGUCUGUAAUCCGCCACGAAAUUCGCCUCACAAACGGAUCCAGUAGGAAUUGGCGGACGGCAAAAAUUGUUGUUCCGGAUGCGGAGGAAAUCCUGGGUUACUUGUGGCUCCGCCCUCUUUUGGGAAAGCGCAGUCAGUCUGAAUUGACUUGCAUCAAAAGAAAACUCCUUGGUCUGUAGGAAUAUAAUCCCUCAAACAAAAAUAUAGAUCUAUAUUGGGUAUUGAGAGCCCAAGUAUGAUAAACAGUAAGGGUCCAGUUCUGUUGCUCCACUCUUUCUGUAUAAGGAUCUCGUAGCUCCUAUAAAGUAGUCGAUAGCCCUCCUUGGGUCUAUCCAAAACAAAAAAAAUUGGUGCAUCUCGAGAAAAACUUUUGUGUUUGUCACAGUAUCUGUUGAGGCUCCUUUAUUAUGAAGUUACUACAUCAGUGGACCAUAAAAUGGAGGCAAAAACACAUAAGGAAGUACUGAAACCCAGAUUGCCUGGUGGUCUUUGUUGUAUCUGUACUUUUGGGUUGGGUGUUUCUUGUCUUCUUAACAACAAAUACAGCAAAGAUUCUUUAUUGGAUUUAGGUCAGCUGGUUGGUCCAUCAAGAAUGGAAAUAUCAUGACCAGCAAAUUGUUCUGUAGUAGUUUUGACGUUGUAGGUAGGCACUAAAUUCUAUAUCUAUUGCGCUUGUGAGUUGAUGGGCGUCAACUGUAAGAACAUACAUGAUACGAUUAGCCUGGAGCCCAACAGUUGCCACUACUGAUGCAGUGAUUUGGAAGUUUUUACGAAAAAAAACAACAAAAAAACUCCCAAGGUGCUGCCACAGGAUUAUAGAAAUUAUGCCAUUUGUGUUCAAUACAAUUUUAUUGUCGUCUUUUGCUCAAUUCAUUAUCUAAAGCUGCAGGGUAUGAGCGAGCAAAAUCAAUUUGGAAAGGAUAAAAUGAUCUCUUGUGAAUUUAAGUCCUUCAGAGGUGCAACAUGUAACCUGCACUGCUUUCAGUCCCAUGAAUAGAGUCCAUGACCACACUCACUCAUUGUGGGCUGGUUAAAAAGCUGCAAUAAAACUCACAGUAUUGGUUCAGGUACUUCAAGUGACUCAUGAGAUGUGUAAUUGCUAAGGUCAGAGUGUAUCUGCCGGUCUCUGUGUAUCUAUUUCUCAGCUUCUGGGUCUUUUUUAAAGACAGUGGCAGGUACCGUGAGCUUCCCAGUACGCUUCUCUCCUUCUCAUAAAGGGCUCAGUUCAGAGUCCGCCCGUUCAAUCCUUAAGGGUCACUUCUGUCAAUCCACGCUCUCUAGGGGUCUUAUUGGAUGUAUGAUUACUUGACAUUUUCUGAGAAUACCCAAAUCCCCCCAGUGCUUCGCUUUAAUCAACACUGUAAAGCUUGGUCCUCACCAUGUGGCAAGGCCUUGACCUAUAGCCUCCUGCUUAAUCAAACUGCAGGCUUGGAUGUGUGUGUUAUUAUUGCUAUUUUAGAUUUAAGCAGCAGACGGAUACAGUUUGUGAAAAUUUUCAGUGUUUGGUUUUUGGCGAGGAUAUCCACUCAGAUCUGGUAAAAGUCGGUUAAUAUGACUUUGGCGGUCUUGCUGGGGAAAGGUUAGUCCUGGCUUUGUUACAGAGCAGAUCCAUGUGGGGAAAUCUCUUCACUUCUACAUGUACAGCAAGUCAAUAAGCAGCUGAACUCGUGUUGAAAGCUGUGCGCAAAUUUUUUUUUUUUCUUUUCUCUCUUUAAAUAUAACCAUUCUGCUUUUUGAUGAUUAAUUACACAGCUGCACAGUUGGCGUUAAAGCAGACUUAAAGGAGGUUUGUGUAAAUAUUUAAUACACAUAUCAUAUAUGAAUUUUACCACACUCUAUUAUGGAUACUACAUUAUUCCUCCCACUCUUUUACACUUAAGAAGGAGUGCUGGUUUCCCAUGCUCCACAUGAAUAAUGUAAACGUAGCGUAGGCAGACUUCUCGAAAAAUGCCCCGUGAAAGGGAAUAAUGUAUAGUUUUUCUCUCCUCUCCUCGCUCCACGGGGUGUUGUCCAACACUGACGCUCCAGCUGUGACGGGGUCCUUUUUCAUUAUUUAUCUCCUUCUGCCCGUCUGACCCCAUCAGAAAAAUGAGUCAGUGGUCAGUCGACAGAUUUCUGACUCCCCGUGCAGAGCUGCUCCCGCGACAAUAGAUGAGACAUUGACUUUGACAUUGAACUGGACAUGAGAGCUAAGUUGUGGGAAGUGGGGGGAAAAGGGGGAGGUAGAAAGGUGUCUGGUGUAUACGUGUUUGUCAUGCUGUGGCAUAUGUCUGGUGUGUUGUUAGCAACAUCGACAAGUGUGAGUCUGGAAACAAGGCGUUGGGUGGACGUCACUAAAACGGACUUAUAAAACAACAUUAUAUUAGUUCAAUAAAUGGACCUCCGAUGACGGCAUAGCUUUAUACCUUUCUAAAUUAACAUAUCUAUACAAGACCUGCACUGAUCGAAUCAUUAAUUCAAUUUCACUGCUGUGUCUCAUUCAUGAACCAAUCCUUUUUUUCUCUUAAUGUGGUGACUUCCCACUGAGGUGGGGUCACCGCAGCGGAUAUAACUCCAAUCUAUGCAUUUCACGUAUCUGUGACCUUUUUUGAUGCACACAAAUGGAAAAAAGAAGAGGGGGGUUCGGUGUGCAUCACAUCCAAAUGCCACAUGUGGGAAUGCAGUUUGAGUCCUCUAAGAGCUGGAGUUAAAAUAUGCAAAGGUAUAUACUCAUUUAUAUUAGUUGGCAUAAUCUACACUGCCUCCUGUAUAAACCCACUCAGGAUUGCAUUAGCCAUGUUAGGUCAUAUUACACCAGAGAAUAAGUAGCUCCAAUAUGGGGGAAAGGCCACCUCCUGUUAGCCCACCUCUCUGUCUAAUCAGUCCUGAUUAGACAGGAAUCAAUUUCUCAUUUGCUUAAUUUGUGUGCUUUAGAAAGGCUGAAUAUUUGUUGGUUACUUGGUUGAUUAGUACAAAUAACUAGCCCCAUUCACAUGUCCAAAAGCGCCUACAAUAAUGCCUUAAAGGGAUAUUCCGGCGUAAAAUCAAAUCAGGGUCAAACACACUGUAACACCAAGUUAGACACCCCGUCAAGAGAUGAAUGUUGCCGACCGCUUGCUUCUAAAGUUAUACCAACUUUAGUAACGACUGCAUGAUAGCAAUACACAGCGGUCUGAGGAGCCAUACACAAACCUCAACCAAAACGCCACUCUAUAGCUACGUGUAAUGCUCAGAACAGCACCUAACUUCACCAACAGUACAUAUCGGGUCCCAGCCACAGUACUAGCCACCAAACAGCUUUUUUGCUUUGCCUGAUUUAUUUCGCAAAGAGACUAAACACAACUCAUCUACUCUCUUCCAGCAGCCUCUUGUUUGUACCAAGACCUCAGGCCAGUCCAUUAUGGAAUACUGCGGGGUGACACAGCUCAAGGAAGAACAUUUAUGAUCAUUACUUUAUCAUUUUAUCAGCUGUUCUUCUGCCUUAGCGUCUCGGUCUGAUUGUAUUUCCAUGAAGAACAGAGUAGAAGAAGAAGAAGAGAGCUGCUGGAGGAGAGUAGGUGAGUUGAGUUUAGUCUCUUUGCUAAAGAAAUCAGGCAAAGUUAAAAAGACGUUUGGUGUCUAGUACUAUGGCUGGGACCCUUUAUGUACUGCUGAUGAAGUUAGGUGCUGUUCUGAGCAUUAUUUGUGGCUAUAGAGUGGCGUUUUGGUUGAGGUUUGUUUAUGGCUCCUUAGACCGCUGUGUAUUGCUAUGGUGCGGUCGUUUCUAAAGUUGGUAUAACUAGAGAAGCAAGCGGUCGGCAACAUUCAUCUCUUGAGGGGGUGUCUAACUGGCUAAACCCACAGGAUCCGGACGGCGGAUGGAUUCUGUGGAAUGACUCACAUUGAUUUGAUGACUCGGUGUUACAGUGUGUUUGACCCUAAAUUAAUUUUACUCCGGAAUAUCCCUUUAACAUGCAAAUUUUUGCAAGGCAGGGUGAGUUUCCCUCACGCCAUUUCGGUCUGUUUUCACCAAACAUGGUUGAAGAUGUGUUUUUAAAACUUCCCAGACAACCCGACCUCUUCACUAACUUUCCUCAGAGCAAGUUUCUUUUUAUUCUUGUUAGGAUAGAAAAACAAGUCAAAUUGUACAGCUCAGAGGAAGCGCACACAUCACGAUUAGUUUACAGUUCUGCAGGGAGGCUUAUUACCACUUGCAAUUUGGAAACAGCCUUCCUGAAUACAACGACUUUUGGCUUGCAGAUCGAAGCUGACAUCUCUGCUUGCAUUAUUGCAGUCAUGGAAGUGCACAACAGCAAAGAGCGAAAUGAAGACAUUGUCGUGAGUCUGUUUACUUCCCCGAAGCUGCUGGGCAUCAAUUAGCCCCAUUGCAAGCUGUGAGGCGGUGACCCCUGCGUCUGUCUGCUUGCCCUCCGCCGAGGCGAGCCCAGACCUGCAAUAUGCUGGCAUGAAGACAGCCUGUGUGUUUAUUUUUGUCCAUGUGUGAGACCUGGAUAUGCUUUUCUGUUUUAUUUGUCCUACAUUCGCCAUCAAGCCCCCCCCCAAAAGAUUACUUUUGUGCAUUUUCAGCUGUAUCUGCGUGCAUGUUUAAGUACUUUUGUAGUAAAAAUGAAGUCAUUUGGUUGUAGUAGCAAUAAAAGAGGCAAUGUGGAGCUUGUUUCGUGGGAGCAAACUCUGUCAGCAGGCUUUAAUCCAAAAUAGAACUGCCUUUUAUUCCUUGUAAUUAGAAGAGGUUGGAUUUGUUGAAUACGCUCAUCCAUAAAUAUGGGUUAGUGCUGCUUGGCCAAUAAUGAAAACGGAAAAACAGGGGGGAUCAAAAAGCGUGAAGAAGGUCCUCGACUUGAAACAACCCUGCUUUGAUGUUCCCAGAUACAUGAAAUCAAUUACACUGGUUGUGAAAAGAGUGUAAGUGCGUUACCCUUCUGAUUGUUUCCAAUGUCAAAAGUCUCUGUGAUUAUUACGCGGCUGAUUUGAGUGACGAAAAUAAGAUGAAAAGGUGUUACCCCCCUUUCCUCUUGGUGUAACUGACCCACUUUUAUGCUCGCAGUUCUUGCUGUAACAAGGCGCACACUGCUAAUCUCUCAGAUUAAAUACUCAAUUGAAUAAUUAUGUGGCUCAACAUGCAGGUUGCACCCUGUAUCGGUUUUCUUAAUUAGCUUCAUACUGUCUAACACUCUUGCGCAUGCAGUAGCUGCAGAUUCGCUGCCUAUUUUCCUGCAGGACUCUUGUUUUUCACCAGUUUAUCAUGCAAUAAAUAGACCAACACUGAAUUUGAAAUCUCUGUUAUGACUAACAGGAUGACACAUAAGAUGCAAAAACCCCAGCUUCAUGUGCGCAUGAUGUUCCAAGCAGAGGAUUAAAUGAAUAUCUGUUAGCGUUUCACUUCUUCUUCAACACAAGCGCGGCACGCAAAGUGACAAGAGGAGCACGUAACUGAAACAGCCGACGACGACACAAGUGUGUAUUAUUUGCAGAAAAUCUCACUUAGAGCUUUUCUGCUGUCGUUGGGUUUUUAAAAAAAAAAGUACAGAGGGAGACAGAAAAAAGACAAACUGAGGGGAAAAAAGGACAAGAACAAUGGCGAGAGAGAAAAGAGAGAUGGGGUAAAGAGAUAGAAAACAAAGAAUGCAGGGAGCAUUGUGGUCUCCUGCCAAGCUGAAAGGUUCAAACUGAGGCUGAACCCCUCAUUCAGUGAGAACUCAUUUCAUCGCCAUCACUGCCAACACCUGUGGCUCCCAUGGGAGGGGGUGACUUUGUGCCUAUAGAGAGAGAAAAAGAGAGAGAGAAUAUAAAUCUGUUUGAGAUCUGACCUGAAUUUACAGCAUUUGUUGCUGGUAAACAACCGCUCUGCAGCUCUGCACCGGCUUGAUAUUGUGUUUAAAGCCCCAUGGCUCAGUUGGCUCUCUAACGCUUCGUGAUUUGUACAUUGAAUUAUAGGCUUUAUUUUUUGUGUAAUUUGUGCUGCUCUUGCCUAAAAAAUUCAUGCAAGUCAUGUAAGCGUGCGAACUUUGACUGGGAGCAGUGGUGUGAAGCUCCUGAAAUAUUUACUUCUCAUUCUCCACGCCAUACUCGAUGAGCACAUGCAUUUAUGCAACAUGUUUUCACGCAGUCAGAUGCAAUUCUGUAGCUUUUGAAGAUACAUGCUGAGAAGCGGCUGACAUAAAGAUUAUUGUACCACAUUAUCCUGGGAAUGGAGGAGCGCAUUCUAGGAAACAGGGAGAGUAAGUAACAACAUCCACUGAACAUACAGAUCUGUAUUCUUUAAAGGCCAGUUCCUGCACUUCCCAUUUUACUGCUUUUUUUGCAUUUGUAUUGAUCAAAAAUCUUCACAGGAUUAAAGUUAGUAGAAUGUGAGCUAGCUAAUGUAUGCAGUAACUCAACUCAUAGUGAGGGGAUCUGAACCUGCCAAGCUUAUGCUAGCAGCUGCAUUUUCAGUUGAAGAUAAAAGAAUGAAAACAGGUUUAUGUGCCAAAUAUCUUAAGUAAUUGUAGUGAAGCAACCAUGUAGGUUUUAAAGGUGGGGUAGGCAGGAUUCCAUUAAAGAAGCAUCUCUUUUGUGGUGUAUAAACAAAAAGCUUUUAAUAUCAGUCAAUAGCUAUUAGUUAUUGAUGACAUUUGGUUAUAUAACAAUAUCGCUGUGUUUCGUUAUGUCUGUGUAGUCAACAUUUUAAAUUUAUUAGCGGUCCGCUCUUUCUAACUAUUAACAAAGCCAUUCUCCGCCUCCCUUAACCCGAUUGGUUGUGAGGCGGACGCUGCUCCCCUGAGUCAUUCACAAGCCCAAACAAAGUUAGCGUGCUACAAAAUCAGACAGUAGAAACCAACCAGAAAGUACAGAAAAUUGUCUGAAUCCUCCUUUGGCCACGACUGCCGACACAAGCAAGAAAACAAAGUUAAUACUGGAGACUCUGGCAGAAUAACAGGUGCUUAAAAAUCCGGGCAAGAACUACAAAGCCGGGUCAACAUAGCAUAAACAAUAGGGGACACUUCGGGAUCUUACAGACCCUGUAACCUUUCUGCUGGACAGGUAAACCGCUUUAACAAAGUAAGUCAAGUGUCUGUAACAGAAGUGUUUCUUGUCAAACAGGGCCUGUUGCGUGUUGUAGCGCCGCUAAACUGUUUACCUCGGGUCCUGGACUAUGUCACUUUAUCCUAGUUGUAGAAGUCUUGCAAACAUUGUGUUUGCUGGUAGUCUGUUGGCAUCUACAGUAGCACCAAUGCUUUUUACUUUCACGUUGACUGGGCCCCAUUUGUAAUUAUCUAAAGUAUUUAUCUGCAUUAUAUCUGAAUUUAAUUGGAACGAUACGAGCGAGCAGGAGUGUCUGUUUGUGGGCGGGGCUUGCUGGAGCAGAUACGGAGGGGAGGAGCUGGGGAGAAAUCUUGAAUGUAAACACUACCCCUCCCAACCAGUUUUGCCCUAAAAACCGGCACUUCCUCAGAUCCUGCCUACCCCACCUUUAAGUAGCUUCAGAUGAAAAAAUAGAAAUUCUGUAUCAAAUGUUUCAGCCGAGGUGUUCCUCAGGGGUCAAUUUUAGGCCCAUUGUUGUUUUCCAUUUACAUUCUUCUCCUUGGUGGAAUAUUCAGUAACUACAAUAUGCAUCACUGCUGUUAUGCAGAUAUCACCCAGCUAUAUUUCCCUUUGCACCCAUAAUAAUAGCGAUCGAUGCAAUGCAUAAUGCAUAGUGAAUAAAUGAUUAUGCAAAGGAGGCUACAUGAAGAAAAAUACAGCUCCUUCUUUUGGAGCUUUGUGGGAAAUAUAAUUUUAACCAUAAAUUAGGCAAAUGUAACAACUGUUGGUUUUACCACUGAAGCUUAUGGUUUACUCCGCCAGUAAUCUUUUGCCUGGAUUGUAUGGUAGGAUUUCGCUCCAGUUUUCAGUCCCCAACUGUGCCCAAAAAAUCUGUUUUAUUUCCAAAAAGUCCCUUAAACUAAAUAACAAAACUGAACUGAUCUACUUGGACACAUCUGGUUCCAUAAGCAACAUAACAGGAGGUGGCCUCUUCCAGAUAUAUGUGUUUAUUGACUAAUUUAACUUGCCAUAACCACAUAUCAUGUUCUCAUCUAUACCACAGUUGUUUUUUUUAGAUUUCUGUAUAUUUUAACACCCCCCACAUAAGCCCCGAAGGCGCGUAGAUCCUGUUAUUAAUGAGGUUUUCAGCCCACAUGGUUACAUCAGACAGAACUCUAGAGAUAUUCAACACACAGUGCUAAUGAAGUAGUGUUUAUAAGCUACAGAAUGUAGGUUAAAUGAAGGCGUGUGAAAAAGUCUGAAUGGAGAAUCAAGCUUCAUGGACUUCUGUUUGAUCUCGGUCCAUAAAUGGUUUGAUUUAUGAUUGACAAGUCCUACAUUAGGGGGCUCAAGGGGACCUGUUUUUGGAGUUCUCCAAGUGAAAUGUUUUCCCAGUUCUGCUUGAUAUCAAAUCAUGAAUAUAGUUUAGCGAUGGGGAGAACAGUUCUUUUGACUGUACUGAAUCUUUGGAAUCCCUUAAAUGAAACGAAGAUUCGUUCACCGAAUCAGUCAGUGCUUCGGGGCCCCAUCCUGCCGGUGCAGUAGACCAGUGAGUGACACAGCAGCGAGUUCGUUCAUUGAAUGAGCCCCUCCCUUCCCCUGCUGCUGAAGUCACAGCACUGGGUGACACAUGUCGUUCAUUCGCCAAGUAUGAAAACUCACCACUCUGUGUAUCGCCAUUGGUGGAAACAACACAGCAGCACGCACGCUAAAGGAGCCCAAGUCGUCGUUCUUUUAUAUCCCGGAAAAGUGGAGAGAUUGAGAAUAAAAAAUCACAGCUGUAGCGGGGAUUCUGCUAGUUUUAGAGAUAUCAAAUAGUGUAUUGCGUUAAAUCGUCUGAAAUGAAUUCCUUUUUGCAGGAAAGUUUAUACACGUGUUUUAAUGUAAAGGCACUUUGAUGCACUGUUUUAGCUUAGCCUUAGUGAACAAACCAGUGCACAGCAGUAAGUGAACGACGCUACACCCCUCCAUCCGGUUACAUGCUGCCACUCCAACAUCUCAGCAUUCCGACCAGAGGGCUCCGCAGCCGACCAUAGCAGACGAGAGCUGUUGGAAUAACAGGACAUUUGAUAGCAUGGUAACAUACCGCCACUCCGACAAUUAGAGAUGGCGGGAUGUCAGAAUGGCGGUUGCCCCCCCCUCCAUCCCCUGCCUGCCUCAAGUCAUUUGGAAGUCGUUCGUUUCGUUCACAGUCUGACUGAUACAUGUCGUUCAUUCGCUGUGAGCAAAUCACGAGACUCCACCCGCCAGCCCGCUCGCUUGAGAAAGGCACAAAUCAGGUUUUCUGAGUGAUUCCAUUCACGUCGUUCACUCAGCAGUUCCGUUCUUUUGAACAAAACGACACAGCACUAAUAUAGUUUCCAUGAUUUCAAAAAAAGAGUGUCAAAUUUGUCAGGGUUGUACUUUGCAUUAGCCCGUCUGAAAUGACUCUAGGCCCAGAGAAGUCACUGCUAAUUCUUGAGCGCUCUUUGGGUGUGAUUUUGAGCCUAUGCAGUGACUUCCACUACAGAGUCAUGCCUCUUUUUAGUGCAUUGCUGCCUAAGAGCUGUCUUGUAUUGGUUUAAGACCCUUCCCCCUUCAAUUAUACACUUAAUAGCCUGGCGUGUAUUAAAUAGAUGCUUUAGUCAGAACAGAAGUGAGUCAUAUUCAGGCAAAAACAUAAGACGCAUCUUCGCUCUGUCAGUUAAACUAUAAGCGGAUGAAAACAACAUGUCCUCCCUGUGUCUCUAUUUUUGAAGUGUGGCUGGACCUUUGUGCCAUCCAGACUUUACUUUGAAUGCAUCCCCACUCAUGUUGAUGUUUAAACAGAGUGCAUACAUUACAGUUGAUAUUUACAGCAUUGUAUAUACAGCAGUGAAUUUCCACUUGUCUACUGAUCUGUGUCAUAAAUGACAACAAUAGUGGCCAACUGGAUGUGAAGUGUACAAAACCAUGCAUUAUAGAUAAGCAAUCUCCUUGAUGGUGUCAUAUUAUUUAUGCAUCCUGUCUCAUGCUAUGUUCAUGAUAUUUAAAGCAUUCAUAUGAUUAACCGCGAGCUUGUAAGCACCCAGUGUAUUUGCUUUGGUAAAUCAUCGGAGUGAAUGCCGAACAAUACCCCUGAGAUACAGUUUCUAGCCGUGCACUGGGGAGAACAUCGCAAAGGGCAGUGAAGGAAAAAUCAGUGUGAAGUAUAUUCUCCAGUGUUCAUUUCUUCAUCUUGGUUGAUAGAAAAAUAAUGGUUUAUGAUUUUCAUGCAUAUCCAAUAAAGGUGGGGAACGACUCUUGCAUUUCUGAGCAGACCACACCAUUAAAAUCUCUCCAUGGGAUGAGCGCUGUGUUCAAAGACCCCCAGUGGCGCCACCCAAUAAGAAAAAAAAAAAAAGAAAAAAAAACACUGACCCUUUAUUCCGCAUUUCUGGAAAUACCCAGCAGCGGCGUAAUAUAUCACCUCCGCAGCCCACCCAUGCGGCUUUGAUCUCCCACCACCUACAGUUCCAAUUGACCCCUAAGCUGCGCCGUCAGAACAUAAGGGCUCCAUUUGAAGCUGCAGCCGAUUCAUGAAGACCGGCCGACUCUGAGAAUCGAGGGUUUCCUGGAGCCCUCAACCAUGAUGCAUAUUUCAAAACUGCCCCUCUCUUAUCAAACAAGGUACAAUAAAACACGCUGUAAAUCUAUUUACCACCGACUACCAUCUGCGGUUGUAGACGUGUUGUACCCAAGUAUGGAGACACCUGGAUUGUGGUGGUGUUGCGCAUUAUUGCGUGGAUUAUAGGUGUUAUAAAUGAGCUAUUUUUUUAUAAAUAUUCAUCUGUAAAAUGUUAAUGCUCUUUAAGUCUGCAUAUAUCUCUGUACACAACAGCAGGCAGCCGUGGCAGGUUCUCACUGAUCUUAUUAAGCUCUUAUCAGUCGAUGGAGUCGCUGGCAUCACAGAGAAAUAAAAUUAAUGUGCUAUGAACUUGUGAAAUGGAGAAUUUAUGUUCUCCAGAUUGCUAUCAGCAGAGUACGACAAGCAAAGAAACUGAAAAAAUGACAAAGCAACACGACCUGUUGUCUGUGUUGAAAUCUGUGGAGUGAAAAUCCUUUCUGCUCCGUGCUCUCGUACACAACAGCUGUAGCCUUUUAAUAAAGUAGCGGGUGGCCUUGGUUUUUCUGCGAGCUGAGGGCUGUCAGAGGUUUGUUUGAGCUCAUGAGUGUGUGUGUGUGUGGGUGUGUGUGUACGUGCACGGGUGUGGCGCAGUCCUGUAAGCACUCAGCCAUGGCAGGCGACUGAUUGAUGGCUGAGCAAGUCCAGGAUGCUCCAUGGCUGCUACAGAUUGGCACAGCGGAAACCUGGCACUGCGAAUGCUUCGAACUGCACACACACACACACACACACACACACACACUCUUUCUCCCCCUCUCUCACACACUGAACAUAUUACACAUAUUUCAAUUUUUUUCCCCUCAACACCAAACCACGGGCAGAACAUCCAGAAACAGGGGGCUGUUACCCACAUCAUGUCAGCGCUUGAACUUGCCAAGUGGCGCAUUUUAGUGCCAGGAUGUAGCUGUGAACAUAUGGGGACAGGUUUUGCAUUGACAGGUUGUUUCAAGCGUGUAAACCAAUUUAUGCAAAAUCAUUUUUUGCAUGUUUUGGAUAUUUGAUUUGACAAACUGACAAAAACACUCAGAUAUUUACCUUUUUAAGGACUAUGACUUUAUAAGGUUAUUUACAUUAAAAUACUGAAAUUGCACUAAACCGAACUUCUCAUUGUCAUACUUACACACCUAGAUCAUGUAUUUGAGAUUGAUUUUCUCUAAUUUGUAUGGCUCUAUUAAACUGAAACUGGACCAAGUGUGCUGUGUAUGCUCCGGAGUGAGCACGCCAGUUCUUGGCCUGCCUAAGAAAUGAUGUAAAAAAGAGAAAAAAUCAAUCAAUCAAUUAAUCAGUCUUUAUUUAUAUAGAACUUUUCAUACACAACCAUAUAGCACAAAAUGCUUUAUACAGAAAAAGGAGGGAAAAAAAGGAAACAAAGAUUACCCAAAUCUACCCCAACCCAAGAUUAAAAGAAUACCCAAAUCUACCCAAGCCCAACCCCUCAUUCCCACCCCAUGAUCUAAAUGCAUCAGAAACAGUAUUAAAAUGCAUAAACUUAAAAAGGGCUUGAGUUUGAAAACAAAACUGAAAACAAAGUAGCAUAGAAUGAAAUUUAAGAAAUAAUAAAUAAAAGGAAAUGAAAUAAAAACAACAGUAAAAGAUACUAAAAAAAGAGCAUCAAAAUAGCUCAAUGAAGACAAUCCUGUCAUUUAAACUAGAAGAGAUAAAUGCCAAAAAACUUAAAGUUAAUGAUAUAAAAUGUGGUCUUACUGUAAAAUUUUACAGUACAGAGCUGUGAAGGUGAUGGUGUUUUUACCGUUGGUCAUAUGCUAAUAUAUUUUAUCUAUUGUUUGGUUACUCAAAUGGUCAACUUGGAGAUGAGUUGGCAGUAAUGAGCAGAAGGAAGGCAUGGGGCCACCUACAGUAGGCGGACAUACCUCCGUUAAUGGUUCAAUUCUUGCCCAGUGCUUGUAAACUUGGACAGUAGUCCAGUUAAAUUGCCCAAUAGAGUGAUAGCUUUAGCUCGAUUUAACCUACCUUCACCUAAGUCAAGCUAAACAUAUUUUUCUGUAUUAUUUGUACCUUCCCAGAUGUGUAAACUAGCAAUGCAAAGUUCUCCUAAGAAUCCCUAUACCAUCAGGGAUGCUGGCUUUUGAAGAGUGAGCAGAUAAGCCAGGUGGUCUUCCUCCUUUGUAGAGCAAAGCUUCCCUUAAAAGGCCUUGGUUAUAUCCUCCUUUUGUUUAGACUGGCACAAAGUGCGCCCACAAACAAUGGGUUUUGAGUGUGUUUUUGAGCCUAUGAAGUAAUUUCCACAAUAAAGUUCCCUCCACAGAGCUCCCACGAAACUCUCAAACAUCAUGCAGAGCACCACGGGUGAUGUAUUAUAGGUGCUGUCACGAAUUGCCAAGGGAAACUGCAGUAUGGAAAAGACCUGAUACACCAAAAAUGUCCUGUCCUCAAAAGUGCUAGAGUUCCUGUGAUGUGUUGAUAGUACUAAGGGGUCAUCAUUAGUCUUCUUUAAGGCUCUAUGACAGUGAAACAUUAGCAGCAAUAAAUCACAUACUGUGAAUUGGUGCUUUUUAAAAAAUGCCCACCUUUAUAAACGAUACUCAAUCAAAAAUAGUGUCACAUCCAGGAAAAAAAGCCACACAACAGAUGGUUGUAAGAAAAGUAACAACCUGGUUAUUUCUUAUAGAACUUUUUACAGCUAAGCUACUUUUGUCAGCUGAUGGAAACCUUAAUUUGAAAGCACUUGCAUAAGAAACACAGAGAAAAAGAAAUCACCACAGGUGUCAGACAAGCAGGAAUGGUGAAGAAAAACGAGCCACAUUGAAUUUUUAGGAGUUAAUAAAGUAUGUACUGCAGUGGAUGUACCAGGGAACAUGAUAUCCCUAAGGUGCUGUAGCUGACAGAAAAAAAAAGUGCUACUACCUCCAGCAGUUUCUCUGCUUUUCUGAAUGGCUUACAUGAGGUAGACACACACAAGAGAUGAUGUAAAAUUACAGGCAAGCAAUUUUACAAGAAUGGAUAGAGCUAUCUUGGGAACCAAUGUAAACCUUUUAAAGAUACGCUGACAAUGACUGCAGUCAUCCUGUAUACCUGCUGCAAAAACACGCCUGUUUCUUUACACAAAUAGUUGAGGUUAUAACAAAAAAACUGAGAAAAAUGAAGAGGAGGAGGAACGUCUCACAUCUGAGUAUUUUAAUUUGCAACUAACAUCACUUUAAAUAAGAGGCUUAAUCUCUCAAGAAGAAAGUGUCAGAGACUCCAAGAGUAAAUAGUUCCUCAAUUUCAUGUCCAUCAAGGUAAAAUUGCAGCAAAAGUGCAAAUAUGAUUUGAAUCUGGAGAAAUCGCUGUACAAAAUGGACAAGGCUGACAAAAUACACUAGAUUGCCAUGCUCUUUGGACUCUCAGAUGGCUGUACAUUGAAAACAGACAUGACUCUGUAGUGGAAAUCACUGCAUUGGGCUCAAAUUGACUUCCAGAAUACAUUAUUUGAGAGUCCAGUUGGUUGAAACAUUCAGAAAUACAGGUUAGAACUGAAUUCUGAGAGGAAUCCAUAUAAAUGAUUCAGAUAUACAGCAGACUCACUUUUUUUGGAAUUGGGGUUGAACUAUUUAAUACAUUUUAUGAGUGUCCAUUCCCCCUCCAAGCGGGAACUAUAUACCACGUAGUAAAAGCUGUCUCCAGUUGGUACACUCUUCUCCCAGCUACGGUAUACUCAUAAAAGGUAAAAGUGUUGCCAAAAAGGAUGGCUCUCAGCCUGGCUCUUUGUCUGCAUGCAGGGAGGGCGAAUACACACACGAGUGGAGGAGAAACCCUUCAGUCUCUGUGGGAUUCGUCUGUUUUUUAGGGCAAGGAAACAUCUCGACAAGUACCAUCAUUUGAUUCAAGAGCUCAAGGUCAGGGAGUGCUUUCAUUUCAGCCAGACACAGUGUGAAGAGUUGGUCUGAAAAAUUGGACCAUCUGUAUCAGAGACACAAAUGCUGGCAGGCCAUCAGGCUGAAGGAGUAUCCCAAUUUGCUAAAGUAGCCUGUGUGGCGCACUUUGGUCAAGUUAUUUAAUGUUGGGUUAUCGACCCACAGUAAUAGUUUGUUAUAUGCUUUCAGGCACCCGUCAUUGGAAGAUUCAUAGAAAUCAACAUGUUUCAAGAGUUGCCUAGAAAGUAUGAAUCAUCCUCAAGGUCCUGUCCUACUUUGAUAGACAGAAAUAGGUGACUAGGUCCACUAGCUUUAUAAUGUGCGUCACUUUACUGUUAUCCAGCUGAAACUGGUGGGUAACUCAGAUGGCUGUUCCUUCUCAAUUAGAUCCGCCAAUCUGGGGUGAAAUUGUGCUUCAGCAAAUGUGGAGGUGUAACAACACCAAGGGGCAGGAAUAUGCUUGUUUGUGCCAAGUCGUUGCAGAUCCACCAAAGUCCUUGGUGCCUUUCCAAAAGUAAUCAAAGCAAGGGUGAAGGCCACUUGCAUACUUUGUAACUUCCUACGCUAGGUGGAGGCAGAAUAAGAAGAGGAAUGUUGUCCCACCCACUCUUAAAUCUUCAGCUUGCCAGGCAGCCCAUGCAGCAAGUAGGCUGGGAAAUUAAACUCCAUAGGGAGGCACUGGAAAGUAGACAGAGGGACACCAGCUACUUUUCCUCUCCAGAAUACAAAACUGCGUGGCAGCAUUUUUGUUGUUUGAGGCCUCUUCAACACCCACCUCCACUGGGACAAUAAAUUCAAGAGUGGUCAUAUCCCAGAGAGAAAAAAAUCUUUCUCCUUUUGCCUUUUUUAAAAUACCCAACACAAUGCAAUAAUGUAAUAAUAGGGAUUGUGUUGGACAAUGACUGUGACCUUUAUAUGGUUCUUUACAUUGGUUACCACCCACCAUUGAAUGGAGAGACAAUGAAGAGGAAGCAUCCACUACCAAGCUAGCUAACUAGUUAGCUGUAGCAUCCCUCUGAAAACCAAUCAGUAACUUUAAAACCAGUGUAUAACAAUUAAAACACCAACAAAUUGAACAUUAAUGCUGUCUCUUUAUUUUUAAUGUAGCUUUUGAUAAACCAGAAGUAGAAAUAGAAGCAUCCACUACCAAGCUAGCUAACGAGAUAGUAUUUGCAUCCCUCAAUGCUGUCUCUUUAUUUUUAAUGUAGCUUUUGAUAAACCAGAAGUAGAAAUAGAAGCAUCCACUACCAAGCUAGCUAACGAGAUAGUAUUUGCAUCCCUCUUAAAACCAAUCAGUUACUCUAAAAACUAGUGUUGAUGAUUAAAACACCAACGAAUCAGUUAUUAAUGCUUUCUUUUUAGUUAUUUCUGUAAAUACUUCUGGUUUGAUAAACCAGAAGUAGAAGAAGAAGCAUCCACUACCAAGCUAGCUAACGAGCUACCUUUAGCAUCCCUCUGAAAACCAAUCAGUUACUUUAAAACUUGUGUACAACAAUGAAACACCAACAAAUCGAUUAUUAAUGCUGUUUUUUUAGUUUUUUUCAUGUAACUUUUGAUAAACCAGAAGUAGAAGAAGCAUCCACUACCAUGCUAGCUAACUAGCUAGCUGUAGCAUCCCUCUGAAAACCAAUCAGUUACCUUAAAACUAGUGUAUAACAAUUUAAACACCAACAAAUCGAUCAUUAAUGCUGUCUUUUUAUUUUUUAUGUAGGCUUUUGAUAAACCAGAAGUAGAAGAGGAAGCAUCCACUACCAAGCUAGCUAACUAGCUAGCAUUAGUAUUUCUCUAAAAACCAAUCAGUUACUCUAAAACUGGCGCAUAACAAUCAGAACACCAACAAAUCGAACAUUAUUGCCUUUUUUUUAGUUAUCUUUGUAACUUUUAAUAAACCAGAAGUAGUGUGUUGGUCAUUUCAAAAUAGAAGCAUGAAUUUGCUGUAGAAGAAACAAGAUAGCUGAGCUGUUGACAGUAUCUAAAGAAUUGCCAAUUUCUGAGUUUUAGGGGAUUGUGGCUUUCCUCAAUUUCUAUGAUACAUUAACACUAUCAUUAUUAUGUUACUUUUUUGGAAUGAGUUAAAAGUCUGAUCUCCUGACAUCCUACACAAACUUUCUAGAGCAGUCUUCUCCAUCUACAAGUGUCUAUCACACCCUCAAGCAACACUCCUACCUUGACAUACUCCACACACAACUUCUCAUGACUGUGUAGGUCACCCUAUUUUGCAUUUAUAGCCCAGGCAGUUGAAAAUGGACAUGUCCCCUUUCUCAUUUUUCUCUCCGUCCCUCAGGUAUUUCCACACUUGUGACACAUUUCCACCGAAAUUCCAAGGGCAGAAAGAUUACAGACUUCUGCGGUACAAGCAAGCAAGCAUUAGUCUAACUUGCGCUGAAUAUUUUAUGUCUGUCUUUGCUUUGACAUUGUGUUAAAUUUUAAAAUCUGUCCUGGCCUUGACAUUGAAAGAGCAGAAUGUUCUUCAGCCGAGAACUUUUUAACGGCUAGUCUGGAAAUGAGGAGACGUUUCUGAAUCCCAAGUGUUUUUCUAUUAGGAACAGACUUUUUCACAUUGGAAAAAAAAAAAAGUAUCAUAGCUCAUUGAUUACAACCAAUGUUGAUUGGUAGGUUACACAACUUUGAGAAAACAGUCUGGUUUCUGUAAUAUGUGAGAAAGAAACUGUCUGAUUUUCAUUUCAUUCGUUCUGCUUUCCUGGGACUGGACAAGCGCCAUGCCAUUGUUCCUCCAGUCCAUUAUUUAGAAAUCCCAAAAGUCUGGCAGCCCAUUAACUCUGGAAAAAAAAAAAGAAGACAAAUAUAAAAACAAACAAUAUCACAAACCCAAAACCACAUAAUGGAUUAAAUGAAGCCUUUCCUGCCUUCAGAAACUCUUUUUUUGCAGCUGAAUUAGUGGGGCUUGCUUAAACUCUUGAAAUUCCUCCCACACUUACCUAUAAUUAUACGUACUGUAUAUGCUAAGGACCCUCAUUGGUGCAAUACAUUCCCGAGUACCUUACCCUCAUAUUAUCAACAUAACUAGACCAAUGGGAUUCAGGGAACCUUCAAAUAGCAAGUAGUUCUUACAGUGCAUUAGCGAAAAGUAGGCGGUUGAGUGCCACACUCAAAGACCUAGCCUUAUUAUCUUAGCUUUUUGAACCCUUUCCCUAUCUUUUAAAGUGGUUGCAGUGGCCAUGGUGAUGCUUAUCCCAGUAGGUCUAACUGAGGUUUUGAGAGAUGUUGUUGUCUGUAAUUAUUCCAAUCUGCUGUGUUCCCUUUAGUGCUUUUCCAUUCUCAAGGUUGCGCUUGCUUUAGGGAAAUCCGGCCUCCUGAAAUAAGCAGAUACGAGCAGUAUCCUUCACUUGAGGCUUGGAGGCAUAAAUAAGGGGCUACGCUGGAUUUUUAAGGUUCAAAAUCCACAAACUUACCAAAGCAUAAAACCCAAAAUGUCCGACCAUCGUUCCCUGCACUUCCACAUAGACUAAGAGCAAAAACUGUAGAAAAAUACCGGUAACUACAGUCAGCCAAGAACCAUUGUAUUGUUUCUGUAUUGUUUCAGGAUCCCAUUAACCUGACACAUCCCAUGGAACGUUAUAUUUCUGAUUUUGUAUGAAAAUAUAAGUCUUUCAAAACACAUCUUUGCAUGGACUAGAUUUAAUUACCGCUGGGAAAUUACUUGUAAUAAAUUUUAUGCUAGUAAUGAUUUCAUCCCUAAUAUAAAACACAACAAAAUCAAGUCUUUUUUGACACAUUGGUGCUGUAUCUGUAUUUUAGUCAAUGGUUUAAUAUAAACUGUAUUUUCCAGACUAAAAGUCGCGCUUGUUUCAUAGUUUGGUUUGGUUUAGGACUUAUACUUAGGUGCGACUUAUAUAUAUUAAAAUAUCACGUUUGUUAUUUUCACACUGACAGCUGCUAGAGGGCACUCCAGUUGUUCAGAAGUGACACAGAGGAUGAGAAAUUCGAUGGAUUUAAUGAUUUGGAGUAAGAUCGAGAGUUCGGUAAACUUGUUUUGUUCUGUUCUUUAUACUGUAGUUAUCUGAAUAACUGUUAAAAUGUUACCUUAACAUACCAGACACCUAUUGAGUUCAUUGUUUAUGCUUCAUGUAGCUGAAUAAUCAUCAACGUGCUACAUUAGCGUACUGUACACCUAUUCAGCCUGUUCUCGAUUCUUUUAUUAUCAUAACUUGCCUUUCAAGAUGAAAUGUCUGUUCUUGGUCUUGGAGUUUGUAAAAUAACCAUAGUUUCAUGUGCUUAUCUGGUACUGGCCCUGACUCAGUACAUGCUAUCAUGACAGAAAGCCAUCUCAACACUAGUGUCUAGUGUCUAGUCCUCUGCCUCUUCAAACUUGGAGCUAAUUGUUUCAGCAGAACUUCAAAUUGUCAAACGGACAUCCGAAAAAUAGGUUCUGAAGCGACCGUGGUACGCGAAGUAGACUCCAUUUUUGUCUUCUUGCUUCAACCCAGGACACUGCAGGAUGGUAAGGGAAGGCCCCGCCCUCCUUCGCCUCUGAUUGGCCAUAAGUGCUGA